AAGAAAAAUAUCCCCAAAUUCAUGGAGCCCUUCAUUCAGAACAUGGAUAUGUACAUACGUAUUAAAGCACGAAACCUAAAGCUUGGAAGACGGAUUGUUGCUUUCCUCCCUGGCAAUUGCUGCAUCAACACCUAUGUUUUCAGAACCGGACUGGAUAGCGACUCGGCCGAGGUCAGGGGUCAGGGGUCAAUGGGUUUGAUCGGGGGUCGAUAGGGGUCGAACCGGAUGAUGUCAUAAAUAAAAUUAUUUAAAAAUUAAAAUAUUAUAUAUAUAAUAUUUAAUAAUAUGUUGAUAUUAAUAAAGGUAUAUUCAUAUAUAUUUGAUGUUUCAAAUAUAUUUAAUAAGAAAAUACAAAGAAAUUAGAACAAUCAAGUAGCAAUUUAUAUUAUUUAAUAAAUAUUAUAAGUUUAGAAUUAAAAUUAUGAAUUAAAUUGAAAAAUAACAUCAAAUUUUAGGAUAAUAUUUAUAAAGUAUCAAAUAUUUGAGGUAUAUCAAUAAGUUUUAAUAAUUUAGGGGGUCAAAACAUAAUAUUAAAAAUUUUGAAUUUUUUUUAAAAAAAAACACUGUUGAACCGGAAAAAUCGGGUUUUUUCCGGUCAAAUCCGGUUUUUGACCGACUUUGACCGGGUUUUAAAUUCCCGAUUUUUUAGUAUGACUCGGACCGACUAUCUGGCCGGUUCUCGGUUCAACCGGUUCGACCGGCCGAUCCGGUCCGAGUUUCAAAACAGAGAUCAACACUUGAUUCAUUGCUCGAUCUGAUGGCUGGUGGCAUACUGUGGCUAACUCACCUGUCUACGAAGAGCAUAAACAUUUACAAGUAUCCCAUUGGCAAAUUGAGGGUCCAGCCUGUGGGCAUAAUUGAAACCAUCAAUGUUUGUUGGGCAAAAUUUGAAGGAGUCCGACAUUUUUUAAUGGGUGGCCCACCCAUUACACGGCCACAAUGGGUGGCCGUGUAACCAACCCAUCAUUACACCCCUUAUGCAACUCCGUUGGAGUUGCUCUAAGAGAUACUUGAGACUUCAUACUUUCUUGUUUUUAUUUUGUGAAUAGUUACUUUAUAUAAACUGAUUCAUCAUUGUCAAUAAGCUUUACUUAUAUACACAAUGAACUUUAUCUUGUUGUUUUGUUGUUCUUUACUUACGUACCCCUAUUAGUUUUUUUUCUAAUAUAAUUUAAUUAAGAAUAAAGGAAACAAGAAUAAUAUAUGUUUUUUUGUAGAAAAGGAACUAAUUGGUUGUUUUCUUUACAGCUUUAAUAACAAUUAGUUAAAUGCAAGAAAAAAUAAAUUAUUAAAGGCACUAAUUGGUUUUUUCCUUGAAACUUUAGUAACAAUUAGCUAAAUGUUAAAAAAAUUAUUCCAUAGGAAAUAGAAAAAAAGAAAAUUUUUAUGUAAGCAAAUGCUAGAUGGAAACAAUUCUAGUUCUUAUUGAAUUCUUCUCUCAUUCAAACAAAGAAUUUGGAAUUUUAAAUGAAUUGUGUAUCAAUUCUGUGCAUUUCCCAAACAAAAGAAUUCCAAUAUAUUGAAAUUCCAAUUCCUAGAAUUAUAAUUCUAUAGAAUUCCAAUUCCAAUUCCAAUUCUGUAGAACAAAACGCACCCUAAGAAAAAUAUCCCCAAAUUCAUGGAGCCCUUCAUUCAGAACAUGGAUAUGUACAUAUGUAUUAAAGCACGAAACCUAAAGCUUGGAAGAUGGUUUGCUGCUUUCCUCCCUUAGCUGCAGUUCGAGAUGAUCAUGUUCUUCCCUCCUGCCUUGAUGACUUCUUUUACCCCUUUCGUUGCUUUCAUUUCCUACCUCCAUUUUGUCAUUCAGUUCAUCAGGAUCGAGUAUUUGCAUAGGAAACAAUAUUGAAAUGGUUAUUCUGGGAAGAAACUCCUUAAAGCAACUAUUUGUAGUUUCCAAGGCUACUACAUCUUGCAAGAACCAAACAGAAUUUGAAUGCUAUGGUGACUGGAGCUUGCCUUACUAUUAACAAAACGAAUACGAACAGGAAUAACACACUCUUUCCAAUUUUUUUGGGUGCAAGUCAUUGAUAACAAUAUUGUAGCCAGUUAUGCAGAUUUAUCCAAAUAGCUGGUUGAAUAAAUAAGAAUUAUGGAUCCCAAAACCCCUUAAUCAUACCAUGCUUUUGCUCAUAGCAAUUAAACCAACCUUUUCUCUGGCUUUGCCUGGAGGAUGCUGCUUCUUCUGUGGUCCGGUUUCCACUUUAAGUGCAUAUGCUGGACAGUAUAACUCUCCCUGUCCCACUUCAUCUGCUGAUGAAGAUUCAGAAUUCCUCUUGGCUUCUGUCAUUUCUAUCUUUGCUUUUCUUUUUCUGUAUUCCUUGCAUAAAAACUACCAUGAAAAAUGGUUGCACGAGAAAGUCUUAUUAUAACACUUGUUUCUGAAUUUCAAACGGUGCAAACAUUAGCAUGCGGACUCAUCCCUUGCUGACAGCACCUGUCCAUUUUUUUCUCUGCUGCAUGCUAUAUUGGAUUUUGUCUAUUAGGUCUUUUCUCUUCUCUUGGGUUCUUUUUGGCUCUAGAACCUUAUGGUGAGUACUGGUUAUUGCUAAAAAUAGAGAAAAUUUGAUAUGGUCCUGGCCCUUUAUAUUCUACCAGUCAUGCUCGAAUGAUUAUUUAAGGGGUUUGACAAACUGGAAUUCUGGUCUCAACAAUUGACUUGAAAAAAGAAAAAAGAAUUCUAACAAAGAGAAGUGAAAUGUAAGAAGUUGCAGGAAAGAACAAGGAUUUGAACUUAGGAGUAAGAAGCUCAGAGGAGGAGAAUUUGAACUCAAGAUCUCUAAUUCCUGAGACCUAACCUCAACAAAUGACUUUCUGAACUGCUAGUAUUAAAAAUUUAUUCAAGACAAGUAAGAAUUUAUUCAAGACAUUUUCCUAGCACCAGUUGCAAUGUGUGAGCUACAGAGACCAAUUGCCUCUCUACCUUAACUACAACAUCCUCAAUUUAAAAAAAAAAUUUGUUUCUUGAUAAUCAUCCUCAAGAAUAAACUUAAAAUGGACUUGAGCAUUAUCGGGAGUUUGGUAUAUUAAAAAAAAAAAAAAUCGAUGUUCAGAUUGCAGUACACUCUCAUAGUGAUCUUUGACUGUCCACAUCCCUGCCCAAAUGUUUGUGCAAAGUAAAAAUGUUUUGAUUUUUCAUAUAGAAUGAUACUUAAGAUAGCAAAAGUCACUGUGGCUGAUCUAGAAAGCUUACAAAGCUUAAUAACAAGAGGCAGUCUACAGCCUGCAGCAAUUUUAGAAACUAAAAGACACAUCUCUACAUUUAUGAAAAGCCUCAGGAAAGAUCAGUUUAUUUACACCGACCAAAACUAAAUGUAAAGCCAAAACUGUAGCAAAAUCGGGAUACACAGGAGAGAACAUAUAGUUUCUCAAGAGGUCAUGUUCAAAGUGCAACAACCAAUAUCUACUCUAUCCACAGCCGUUGCCCUCAGUUGUGUGCCAUUCCACCAACUUGUUACUCUGUAAUUCCACUGUUAACUGCAUUACAAGUUCAUGCCUUUGAGAGUAAACGAAGAGGCAAGAAAAUUGAUAAUUGGAAGAAGAACAAGGAAAAGAAAAACGGACACACGGUUUAAGUAAAGAAAGUGUAAAGCCACUGAAUGAAAAAGACAAUAGUUGAUGAGCAGGGUUAAAAUAUAACAACUGAUGGAAAACGUGAAAAAAAAAAAAAGAAUGAUUGAAACAGAAGUUACCUAAGAGUUCGGCAAUAAGCGACCAUUAUACAUCUUGUCAAGCAGUUGUUUAGCAUCUGGCCUUCUGAGCAGACCUUUGUUGUUGGGCAAACCAGUCCCUAAACAUACAGGACACACAAGUUUCCCUCUACCUGCAAUGAAGUAUCGAAUAUCAAAGCUUAACCAAUGUUGACACUGUUUUGGAUCAGUACUCUUCUGUACAUCUCAAAACCACUACCACUUUAAUAUAUUUGUCACUCAGGAACCUGUUCUCUGUAACUUGGGACUCGAUCUACGCUGUGUUUUUAUGCAACCAUACAAGUGUAAAGCAUGUACGUGCAUGUGUAUAUAGAUACCUUUUUUUUUUCUUGUAUACGGAUAUCUGUUUUACAUUGAAAAGCAACUUUCUCUAUGACAUGUCAGUAUAGGAGGAUGGUAGUGGACUCUGAAAGCCACCAUAAAUGUACAAUAUAAUCUCUAUUGAUUAUGUAGAUUUUGGUUUGCAAAUGGAAGAUGUAAAUUGCUGGAAAACAAUUCAAGGAGAUAUUCCUUCAAAAUCACCAUUUUAAGGUGGUGAAACAUUGAUCACAAACAACCAUGUUCACCAAACAGCUAACUUGUCUCUCCAUGGCUAGUGGGUAAUGUCAUAUUAGUGUAACUGCAUAGUAAUAACCAUUCUACCAAGUAACUCCCUGACGCAAAUGUUGUUUUUGUAAUCUGUUGUAGUUCAAUUCUAGUAAAAUCUUUCAUUGUAAUUACAGGAUUGGGUUUUCCUCAUCAAUCUUCUGAGGAACAAUUCUAAAAAAUUUCCAUUGAGGGUUUAAUAUAGACCAGCAUUGUUCUAUUCUCAUAACAAUUUCUUUUUCCUUUUUUAACAUAAGUGUCCAAUUUAUUGGUUCAGUAUCAACGAAACCAGUAUAUGCAGACAUGAACCACUCGUCAGCAAAUCCAUCUUCCAAAACACGACCUAAAAGUAGUCGAAAGACAAGAGAAACAUAUUCCAAAUUCAGGCUUCACUUUUACUAGAAGUCAAAGUUCCAAUAUUUGGGUGUUCUCCUGAAAGUGUGAUCAAGAACAUCAAAAGGUACAGAAACCUGCCUGCCUCACAUAUUCGAAAUGCAAAUCUAGUAAAACAAAACAAAUCAUUUUGAUGUAAAGUAAUAAGGGAUAAAAAUAUCCUGCUGAAUGACUGAAACUUUCUGAACUCAUAUGCAAAAAUGUCUAGCAUCAUUUCUGGUAGCUUUCUUUCAAGAUAACAUGUAAUAUAGUAAAUAAUCAGUAACAUAAUGCCAUCUUUACACAGAUAUAAUGCAGUGAGGCUACUAAAGUUAAGUGCCCUAACUGGCUUAUAGCACAGAAGUUUUCAUGGAAAUCAAGAAUUUAUGAGUAGUGAAAAUUUGCAUACCAUAACAAUUGGGACACUCAGUGAACUCGUAAACAUCUUUCGCCCGUUUUCUGUUGAGAGCUUUCCAUUUUCCUGUACCACCACACAUAUCACCUAAAUAAAAAGCAACAACCAUCUUAUAGGUACAUAUUGUCAACAUGAAACCAAUUAUAACUUAUAUUUGCAACAAUAACGUAUCUGUUUCAUUGACGGCGCUGUAUAUAAGGCAUUUGACUAUGAUUAAUACAAUAUACUUGAGACAUAGAAAAGUAAUGCAGGAAUCAUAUAUUUGAAAUAUUUGCAGAAGAUUACAAAGAAUUGUAAUACAAAACCAAAUUUAGUUUUAAAUGUACCCUGUCAAUGUUAACUGAUACAUGUAUGGCAUAAUAGAGUAUGAUACUCUACAUGCAGCCCUAGAGAAAAAGACUUGAACAUAGUCGGUGGAGGUGAAAUGAACAUGUAGGCAACAAAAUAUAUGCAUCAUGUCAAGUGUCAAAUGAGCAUUGUCUUUGUAAACAAAGAGGUUCAUCUUCACAGCUCAGCCCAGUUGCAUUUCCAUAGUUCAGUAAACCAUAUGUGUUUUGUAUAUUGAGCCAUAUCUAGGAUAUGGUCUUUUGAAUUUUGAUGAAAAAUAAUUACCAAGAGGUUUGUGUUGCUAUUACAGCUUAUGUACAAAGAACCUUAGGUAAUGAAGAUUCAUUUAAUAUAAGGAACUGAAGAAAAGUAGCUUUAGUGUCAUAAGAGCUUUGCUAGCAUCAAGUCACUGAACUUCUAUCCUGGCUUUUAUUAUUUAAACUACAUUUUCUACCAAAGAAGGAUGAAUGGAAUAUUCAACCCUGCCACUAGGACAAGCUUGGCAUGAUUCUAUAAUUGUAGUCAUAGGAAGUGAAUUAAUCCCGUUGAUCAGUGAAAAAUAGUCUCUUUUUAUGUUUUUCUUUAUAUCUCAUUGUAAUUGACAAACACUAAGCAUUUUGCCUUCGUGAGUUAUAAGUUUACAAGCAUCCCUUUAAAUGACAUUACAUAGUAAAGAAGAAAUGAAGUGAGGACCCCCAAUAUCUAAGAUUGACCAAGCUAUCAUUUAUCAGAACAGAGAUUGUUAUCAUGCAUUAUGGUGGUUCCUGUUAUCACUUAAAGUCAUCUUGACCACAGGCUAAUAUAUAUGCUUCAUGAAAAUAAUGAAACUUUGUCCACGGAAUUCGAUAAAUCAAAGAAUCGAGUGGACAGUCAAACUCCAUCUAUGCCUUAGACUUCUAACAGUUUUGGAUCUACAAAAUGAAUUAUACAGAAUGUAAACAAAAAGAAGACAAGAGACAAAGAGAACAAAUAGCGAAUUUCUAAACUUACAAACGACUGCUCCGCUACCCCACAAUUCCGACAAACAGCUCGCUCCUUUGCUUCUGAAGCAAUUGCCUUAGGUUCAGAAACAGAACUGCUAGAAAUGUUUAUCAGUGCUACUGUUGAACAUAAACAAGUCAGACACAAGCGUCGUGAAAUUGAUGUUUCCAAACCCUGUUUCAGAAGAAACAACCAUCCCAGCUGUAAUUGUUGUACAAUAUAACCCAUCGAUAAUUUUAGCAGCAUAGACAUACAAGUUUCUAAUUCACAUAAACAUUGUCAUUAAGAAAUUUAAAAUCAUCAUUCUUUGGUACAACUAAACUACAAAUAUGUCUACUGAUGUGUGCCUAUUGUAUUCAUAUAAGUUCAGGUUCAAAGGGCUCAAGCAUUCGACAUUUGCAGAUAACUAAAGUCUUACAACAAUGUUGCAUAGGUGCAUAGAUGUAAAACUAAAGAGCAUAAGCCAUAAUUAGCUUUUGAGCUCCUUGGAAACAACUAAGACUCUAUCAGAGAUUAACAAAGAAAUUAAUUUUCAGACAGGAAUAGUUGAUACCACAACUGUAUCAGAGCUCAUGUGGCAUUUCCCUGAUGAAAGUUCUACUCAUCUUCAUUACAGAUAAUUAAAUUCACCCAAAAAAUUCAAAAUUCACAGACGAGCAUUUUCCAUUUCGUAAAACUGUGCAAGGUAUUGAGAAGUUUCAUAUAGCUUCAACAAUUUGUUGACUGCAGUCUGUCUAAAACUGUCAAUGAUCACAUAAGAAACUCAAUAAAGUACAAACCGAAUAAGAAAAAGGAUUAAAGAAAGGGGCAGACCACUUUAUCACUGGGUUGUGAUGAAUGGUCUGAGGGUGAGCAAUUCUCAUCACCCAAGCUGCAUCUCAAAUUAAACCUGGCUGGCUCCAAUUUGGCUGCAAUCCCACAUCACAAAAUCAAUUCUUUAAUCCAAAAACCGGGGGUUUGGGAGUGGGGGGCACACCCAUUAUAUUUCAAAUUUUGGGUUUUCUUUAUCUAGUUUGAACAACGAAAGAAAUAUGAAAAAUGAAGUUAAUUGUGCAAAGAAAUUCUAGUAACCAAAAAACAGUAGAAAGAGUAUAAAAACAUCAGCUUUAUGCAGUUCUGUGGGAUAUAAUUUGAUAAUCAGCAAAAACCAAAAGUUGAAACCAGUAAGCUAAAACUUUUAAAUUGCUUCAUACCAGUGCAAGAGCUAAAUAGAGAAAGAUAAAGAAAGAUACGAGGAAAACACUUGUAAAUUAUGCAGUUAUCUUAUCUGUCUAUCUUCUAUGUAAGCUAUAGCUGCUCUAAAACAUGAAUGUAUGUAAAAGAAACCAUAGAGAUAAAGAAGAGAGGGAGAAUCUGACAAUGGGUUGGGGAAGAUUUGAAGCGUGGUGAAGAGAAGAGCGGGAAAGCUGAGGCCACCGUUGCAGAAUAAUGGGAAAACAGUUGAGACGCCAUUUCUGCUCUGUUACACUCUCGCUCUCCGGGUGUGGAGGAUAUUGCCAAUUUAUGGUAUUCCUUUAUUGCUUCUUUCUUUCUUUUUUUUCCUUUUCUUUUUUGUGUGAAUUUGGGUAAAUUGAUACAAUGGGCUCUCAAUUUUUUUUUUUUAAUGACUUCAAUUUAGUUACUCAGGUAAUAUUAUAAACCUUACCAAAUUUGUAAUAAAUCCCAUGAGUAAAUAUUUCAUGCAUUGACAAUAUACACACUUGUGCAUCCAAUUGCAUUUCCAACAUGUAAAAUUUGUUGUUUAAAUUUAAGUUUAGAUGAGGUGACAUGCAUUUAUAUACACAAUUGCAUAGCUAUUGCAUUCCCAACAUGCAAAGUUUGUUGUUUAAAUCUAAGUCUGGAUGAUAUGACAUGUAUUCAGAUCAAGGUUUUCAAAAUCAGAAUCCUACCUAGGAUCGUUUUUUGGUUAGCAAAAUCGAAUCGUAGAAUCGGUAGACCCUACAAAAAAAUGUAAUAAAUUGUCAUAUUUAUAAUUUUUAAGUUUGCAAAUCAUAAAUAUAGUGACAAAUAAUGUAAUUCAUGUGCAAUCAAUAAAAUUAUAUUGCUAAUUAAGGUUAAAAUUGUGCUAUAUAAAGUAUUUCGGACAAUUUGAAAAAUAUAGAGAAAUUUGGAACUACUUAUAAUAAAUUGAUUAAACUAAACAACUUGUUCUUUCUUGUUGUAAACCCAAAUUCAAUUAUGGAACAAUAUACAUGGAAAAGUUGACUUUAUAUGUGUAUAAAUCAUCUUAUUAACAAAAUAGUUAAGCACAAUACAUUUAGUUAACUAUGAUUUAGUGAUUGAUUAUUACAUCAUUUUUUUAUAUAAUAGGAUAAUUAAAUAUUACAUAUAUAAUAAAAUGUUUCAAAUAUAUUUUAAUUGAUAGAAAAAUUGGUAUACAAUAAAUAAUUAAUUAAAGAAAAUUUUGAGAAUAGAAUUUUUUGCUAAAAAACGUGUAUUUUGGGUUCAAAUUUAUAAUCUACCACUUAGCCACUUAUAAUUAGCAAAAGUAUUAAUUCAUUUCUAUAGACUCUAAACCAUAUUAAUUUAUUAUAAUAAAGACACAAAACACUAGCUCCAUGUGAUAACCUAUAACAAAGAUCAUCUAUUCACUUUAGUGAAUUAUAUGAGUCAAAUUUAAAGAUUCAUCAAAUUUUCUAGGUUCGGAAUUGGGGUUAGUUAUUUACAUAGAUUUGAAGCACUUUGACUAUAGUUUACAACGUAACAAACAGCACUCAAUUUCGACUUUUCUACACAAAGAUAUGGUCAAAAUACUAAAAUUGUUACUUAAUUUAUUAGAAAGUUUAAUCCAUAUAGUAUAUAAUAAUUCAAGUUUAAGAAUUAGUUAUAGAGUUUAAGAAUUAGUUAGUGUGAUGUGGCAUGCAUUUAGACCUAUCACUCUAUAUAGAAAGAUUAAUCAUUUAGACCUAUCACUCUUUAUAGAAAGAUUAAUCAUAAUAUGUAAUAAUUCAAAAAUUAAUUAUGUGAAAAGUCACCAAGUUCUUUCUUUCAUUUUGUAGAUAAUUUUAGCUAUAAUAAUGUAGGCAAAUUUUCAGCCUUCACGUAUGGUUAAAAAUCCAUGAAUUCACCAUUCUUAUAAAUAGGAUUUGGGAUGAUCUUGUAAGAAGUCAGGAUCCUCGGGUUGGUUUUAGUUUGGUGUCUUGAGUUUUGGUCCUUUAGAUUGUGAUAACUUGGUGUAAUAUUUUACAUUAAAAUUGUGAGCUUUGACUAACACUGUGGGGUAUCCGGACCACCCCACUAAUCCCGCACAUCACCCAGACAGAGCGGACCCGACCGAUACCUAAGAAUUCAUCAGUUGGGUUGCAGACUGGAAUCGAACCCAGGCGGACUUGGAGUAACUACCCCGCCUCUACCAUCCGAACAAUCCAGCGCGGGCUCUGGACUCACUACUUGAGAAACUCAAUAUGAUGAAAGUUUUGCAUAAAGUUUAUUGGAAUGAAAAUUGGAGCCACUAAGUCGACUAGAAGGGAGAAGGGAAAAUGUAGAUGUCGUGAAAACAUACAUGCCUACACAACCACAGAAAUGUGUAAUAAAAACUGCCUAAGCUAUCUCCAUAAUGGAACCAUUAAGUGCUCAACAAAGUUUACAUGAACACCCACAAAAAAAACACGUGGCCAAAUUUAUCAUUUGCCAUACUUUCUAGGCUGAUAACUCUUCCAUAUUCCAGAACUAAAACAAAAAAAAGCAUUACAUGACAAAGAAACAGAAGGAGAGGUAGCCACUCUUUAGUCCAAUUGCUUUAACACACAAAUCAAACUACCUGUAAUAAGACCAUUAUUAUUCCAAGGCACGAGGAAUUGUUACCAAUUUUUGUAAGAAAAAAUUGCAGUCAUUACGAGAUGUGUAAAAUGAACGUCCAGCAAUAUUUGACCAAAACAAGCAGAAUUAAAUAAGUUUUGCCAAUCUAUUUUUCCCUCUUUUAGGGACCUCCCAAAAAGUUCAUUCACAAAAAGGUAAAUGUAAGUGUAACAAUUAUAAGACCGCACGUAAAUUCAGAAUACCAACCUAUCUGACAUCAUCAACUGCAUGUGAUCUUCACAAAAUGCUGGCAAACCUUUUCUCCAAGGCAUCUUGCAAAGCAAGAAAGCACCCCCAAAAUCAUGAAGCAGCAAAGGAAUCAAGCUGCAAAACAAAAGACUCCCUUAUACCUACGAAUUAAAGCAUAGUCCACUCCAACAAGAAAUAAAAACAAUAAUGAGCUGAAAUACUGCAAUCUAUCUUCGCAGGAGCCAUAGACCAGCUUAGAGGUAGAGUGACUAUUGCUUACAUGAACUUCAAUCUAUGAGGCCUCAAAUUACAAAACCACUUUUUGGUACUGUUUCAACUGAUUUGAUUUGUACUUCUAUGCCAAGGAUUGCCCAAAUCUUCAGUUCAAGCAUAUGGGUAUGCUUUAUACAAUUCAUUGAUUUGUAAGCUUCAAAUAAUCAUUUCUAGAAGCAAGUCCUUUCACUCUAUUUUUUCAUUCAAGAAAUAUGUCUGUGAUUCACUCCCAGAUCUAACUCUCUCAAAAGAAUGGCACAGUCCUUUUCGCAUUCUUUGUCAUUGAACCAACUGCAUUUUUCCCACAAUCCCAAUUCACUGAUUAGCUGCAACAAAAACAUCCUUCAAUAACUCCAAAUGUUACCUUCUUAAACCAGGGAAAAAAAUACAAUUAAGGCGUUAAAUCAUCAUUUCAUAGACGUUUAAGGAUACAAGUCAGUGAAGGGGAGAAAAGAAGUAAGGUGUCUAAAUUUUUUUUUUUUAAAAAAAGGACCAACAAAAACAGCAGAAGGGACUGAAAUACAAAUUUAAGUGAAUGAAGCCAUUCUGUUAUGCAAUGAUUUUAGAAAAGAGGAACAAGACUCCAACUCAAACAUAAAAUCCUAUCAAGAGAGGGAAAGAAAAUGAAAUAAAAAAAUAAUCAUCUUAUAAAUGGAAUUCUUAUUUUUUUUUAAAAAAAAAAAGCAGCAGCAAAGACAAUCAGACUCUCAACAUAUCAUUUCCAACAACUUACCACCAUAAUAGACUCAGAACAGCUUCUAUGUACAAUUUUAAUUUACUCCAUCUUAAAAACUGCCUGAAAGUAUAGAUUUGCUCAAUCCAAGUAAAGUCAUGGGCUUAUCCCCAUCCAGCUAGCCACAAUGCAUCUUCAUUUGCUAAACAUCUUAAGAGUAUCCAUGCUUCUAUGAAUUGAGCUACAAAUCCUCCAAUUUUUUGUCCAUCUCAAUAAUGCAAACAGAUCAUUUAUCAUGUGAAGUUGUCCAUUUAGCCUAUCAGCAAAACCUCCACUUACUACAACUGAGCAAAAUUACUAUUUUGUUUAAAUUUAGAAAAUAUAUGAAGGAAAAAGAAGAAGGGAAUUCUUAACGUUCCAUUAUUGCUGAAAGUCAUAGCCUUCCGCCACACCAUAUCUCUUCUUUUUUAUUAAAUUUCAUUUUCAUCCAUUAACAUCCCUAAUCCUACCUUCCAAACUGGCUUUUUGGGACUUGUAGCAUAUAAUGUGAACCAAACAAUAUAAAAGAAAGAAUUGAGUUAUAAAUAGAUCAGAAUACUAAACUUAACUGCCAAGCCAAGAGAAUAAGCCAGACCUCCUAAAACAUGAUGGUUAUUAACAUGAAUGAAAACACAUAACAGGCAAAAGUCCGGACAUAAAAGUCACCAGCGAUGAGACAGAAAACAAGUACAUCACCAAAACAGAUCAACCAGAAAAUCAAACAUAAAUAAGCAGUCAAAGGAUAAAAAAGCUAAAAAGGAACAGAUAAGUAAGUAGAAUUAUGUGCAGUAAUAUGGAGGUCGAUGCACCAUACAGGGUUAAAGCAGUCCAAAUACAAUACACAAGACUGGGAAAAAAAAAUCCUUUGCCUGGUAUUACUGGUUACCCAGGAUUUCUUCCACAAAAAGAAAACUCACAAUGCUGGCAAUGUCUCUUGGAGAAUAGUUGAAAACCAGGAAACCAAUGCAUGAUAGAAUCCCCCAAGAACAGCACAUUUCUCAUUUUAUCAUGUUAAAAAUAAAACUUUUAAAGGUCCAUCAAACAAAGAUUCAAGGAAUCUAUUAGCUGACUGAGCAUGUGCAAGUAGCAGAUACCAUCUUAAAACCCAAAUCUUGCAUUUUGAUUUGUUAAUCAAUGCUUAAUUAAUUAUUGCAGAUAGCCAAGUGGGUGAGGGACAUACUCACCUUGAAGCAUCUAUUUUUCCUUAUUUCAUAGGUAGGAAUGAGAGGUUUUAUCUCCCUACCCAUCCAUAAUAAACCUUGAAACUUUGAACAAAAGAACAAUGAAAGGAAUUCAACAAGCAGAAAAUUUUUCCUCUAAAGAUAAACAGCAGGUACUUAAAAAAUUACAAUCCAAGAAAGCAAAAGAGGAAGAGAAGGAAAGCAAAGAUACAAUCGUGUGGGAAGAUCUUAUACUGACAAGUAGACCUCUUAUUACUAAAUUCAUGAACAAUUUAGGAAAAGAUAUUUCAACACUAUCAUGAAUGUGAAAAGCUAAAUUGACCAGAUAUGGUAUUGUAGGGCUCAUCUUAAGAAUGCACUAAGAAAGCAAUGAAAAAGACAAAUAUGGAUGUUUCCAUCCCAUCUAUACAAAGCUUCCGAAAAAAGACAAAUCUCCUCUCCAAUUCCCAUCUAGUGGGGUGUUUCAUUAAUAAUCUAAUCAAUAAGAAAUACAGGGGUUUAAAAAAAAGUAACUUCGUAUGCCUUUUUUACUCACCAGGACAAAACAUUUCAAAAUAGGAAAAGGUUCUGUCUUCACCAUUUGUUACUGGGUGAUCAUAUUCCACUGUGAUCAGCCAACAGUUCAACAAGUGGGUUAGCUUCUCCUAAUGAUGAUGAAUUUACUUUAUCAGAUACAGUAGUUUGAUGCAAGUUAUGAUCUAUUUCUAACCAACUAAGUGCUUGUUCUUUGCUAAUAUUCCACUCAUUCAUUAUCUGUCUCAACCUCAUCACAGAGUCCCACUUGCCAAGUGCUGCAUAUAUUUUUGACAGUGAAAUGUAGAUUGCUGGUGAUUGAGGAUUCAACUGAAGAAGGUGUUUUGCUGCUAUUCUUCCCAGCUCUAUAUUUCCAUGCAUCGUACAAACACCAAUUAAGGCAUUCCAGACAUGUUCGUCUGGUUUGCAUGGCAUCUUUCUUAGAUGAUCCAUUACCUCAUGGAAUCGUCCUGCUCGACCUAAAAUAUCAAUUAAGCAAGAAUAAUGUUCUUGAUCUGGAACAGUAUUGUGAUCGCGAUUCAUUGACUCAAAUAACCUAAGUCCCUCGUGCACAAGCCCUGAGUGACUACAUGCACUGAGAAGAACAAGAAAGGUGAUUUUGUCUGGUCUAACGCCCGCUGUCACCAUUUCAGCAAACAAAUUUAUUGCUUUCUCACCAGAACCAUGCUGUGCAAGUGCAGAUAACAUUGUGUUCCACAAUACUACGUCUUGUUUGUCACCCACAACAUCAAAAACUUGCUUUGCAAGUUCCAGACAACCACACUUUGAAUACAUGUCAAUGAGAGAACUUAAAACUAUUGAAUUAGGCCUAAAUUUAAUCCUUAUCAAAUGUGCAUGGAUUUGUUUACCAUGUUUGAGUGAGGCUAUACUUGCACUAGCACAGAGGCAACUACUAAAAGUAAACUGAUCAGGUCUAAUGCAAAGCAUCAUCAUCUUCAUAAACAAGUCAAGGGCCUCAUGUCCCUUGUCAUUACGAGCAUAACCUGAAAUCAUAGCAGUCCAAGAAACAGGAUUCCUUUCAGGCAUCACAUCAAAUAACACCCUGGCUGACUCCAUAUCACCCCAUUUGGCAUAUCCUGAUAUCAAAGUGGUCCAAGCCAGAACAUCCCUUCUUCCCAUCUGAUCAAAUAAUUUCCUGGCAUCAACCAAUUCCCCACAUUUAGCAUAUGCAUCAACAAUGGAACUAGAAAGGACCACAUUUAGUGAAAACCCUGCAACCAAAACUUGAGAGUGGACCUGCUUUGUUAGCCUCAACUCCUUCAACUUCACACAAACCGUCACCACUCCAGCAAAGCUAUACUCAUUAAACCCAAUAACUGACCUCCUCAACUCUUUAUAAAACCUCAAAGCUUCAUCACAUAUACCACUCUGCGCGUAGGCAAUUACCAUAGUAUUCCACGAUACAACGUCCCUCUCGGGCAUUUUAUCAAACAACCUCCUUGCAGGCUUUACCAUAAGUUGUUUAGCAUACCCAGAAAGCAUGUUGUUCCAAGAAUACAAAUUUCUCAAGCUCAUUUUAUCAAACACUAAGCGUGCUUCAAUGUGAUCGCCGCAUUUACCGUACAUAUUGAUCAAAUGAUUGGCUAAAAAUGUAUUGGGGUGUUUGAGACCAGUAACCUUUAGAUGGAGGUGAACCCAUCUGCCCAAUUUCAAAUUCUUGGACUCAGCACACUUCUGUAUGAGAAAAGCUAAUUUUUUACAGUCCAAACGAAUGCCCUUUUGCGCUAAGAGGUCUAAAGACUUGACAGCUUCUUGAAGGUGACCUUGAGAGCAAAGAUUCAGAAAGUUUUGGACUAUGCAAGUAUUAUUCUUGUUACUGGGCUUAAAUGACGGCUUGAGAAUGCGAGUUGGGGAGAAGAGAAAGGGCAUUGCAGGAUGCAAACAUAUGGGAUGGCGGCGGCACGCUGUUGUUCUUCAUUUAUGUUGUGAUGAAGUCAUUGAAAUCAACCGCUGUAAUAUGAGCUCCGGCGAGUAUCGCCGGUUCAGAUUGGCCGUAGGGAGAGCAAAAUGCAGAACCCACUAGUCAAAAUUAUUCAUAAAUGGAAAUCAUGCAAAUUUUCUAAUGAUUUACCGUUUUCAGUGUGUAGUGUUAUGGGUGAGCUGGUCCAAAAGCGCAACUAGACCUAAGAUAAUACAAAUACUACUUAUUAUGUAUUAUUGCUCACUAAACAAUGUACAAAAAAACUCAGCCAAUAGGCAUUGGUUAAGAUGAGGUCUAAGUUUUGAGGAAAAAAAUGAAAAAGUGAAGGUAAAUGUGAAACAUGAGAGAGUUUAGACUAAACAUUUUUUAGAUGCUUAUAGAACUUUUAACGAAUCGAACGGUUUAAAGUCAAUCGUUUAAUAAACAAAUCGGUACUCGAAUAUUUAUACAAAUAAACAAAUUGAACUCGAAUAAUAUUCAUAACUCAUUAAUUAAUAUUAGAGUUGAACUCAAACCCUAUUCGUAUAAUAUACAAACAGAGUUUGAACACCAAAUAUUGUGUUCGAUUCAGCUCGUAAAAAUUCUAGCACUCGAAACCUAAUUAGUGUAUGAAAUUUUCAAUGGUUUUAUAGAGGUUGGAAACUUUUUAUAGGGUUCAUAUAGAGUUCAUCUAAAUGGUUGAAUGUCCGUUCCAAUUGCAAUCCCAAACUGAAGGUUUCGUUAUUUGUUGUGCAAGAAGGAAGCUUGAUGUGAGUUGGUCACACUUAUGUUAGUCACUUUCUCUUAUUUAUUUUCAAAUUUAAUUGUUUGGUUGUUGAGUAAAAGUAUUUGUCAUAAACAAAUCAACUUUUAUCUUCUUAAGUUAAUUAGUGAAAGUGAGGAUGAUUGUGUCAUAUUCAAUUUGAAUAUAAAAGGAUUAAAGGUACAUUUCAUAUUCUUAAUAGCAAUUGUACAAUUUAAAUCGUUUCCAUUUGUUGAAAAAAUAAAAUGUACAAUUUAAACACUGUAAAAUUAAAAAAUGAAGGAAAAAAUCAAAUUGUGAUCUUCAUUUGACUCCAGCAACUUUCGUAGACUAACAAAGAACAUAGUCACAUUUAUCUUUAGGUGGAAAUAGGAAAGUUUGGUGCUAAUGAUAUGAAUAGCAAUUCACGCGCUUCUUCCAUUCACCAAAAAAAAAAGGGAAUAAGAAUGCCUAUUCUUUUUCAAUAUGAUUAUUCACGAAUAGCUAGCCAAAGCAGAAACUCGCAGACUCAUUCUUUGUAAUUUCAACUUCAGAUGUCUAGAUUUCUAUCUUCAAGGGUUUUAAACCAACUCAAUUCAUGUACAUCACCUAAUCCACCUUUUUGGUUCAUAUGCGGGUAUAGAUAAAUAUUUUCAAUUAACUCCUCUUUUCAACGCAUUGAUUUCUGAACUUUCUCUGCCUCAUUUUAUCACUACAAAACAUGUUUAAAAAAGGGGGGGGGGGGGGGAUUCCAGGCUCAUAACAGGCACCUCUACAAUCACCAUCAAGUAUAUAUUUCCACAAGAACAAUCUUUACAUUAGGCCAUGGAUUCUUCCGAGGCAUCUAAUCCCAGAGCAACUUUGUUAUCAAAUAUCAAGGGCAAGAAAUGAGGAAAAAAUCUGGACAAAUGUCCAAACAUAAUUCAAUCUUCUCCGCUGGAUCCUCACAAUUAACUACAGACUUCCUGGUUCAUGCUCAGAAUCAACACACAGUCCGCCCAUAGCACAGGGAAGCAAGAUAGAGGUUCUUUGCCCAUUUUUCCUGCUUAUAGUAAACACAUACAGAGACAACAAAGUUAACCUCCACAAUAAAUGAAGUAUUUUGAUAACAAGAUCCUUGUCCGCCAAACCAAACUGCAGGAUAGCCCUUCGGUAUGCAAUAAAGUUAAAGCAACAACGAUUGAAAACGACAGGUUACAAGGUUCAAAUAGCACAUCCCAACAAAUAUUUACCUUAACAUGGGUGCUUGGGAACUGAGAUGUUCUUAGAGUUUCCUGAGUCUCAUCAAGCAGUUUGCGCCGAGGCACACUCAAGAUAAGAGCAGCUUGAUCCCAGGUAGCAGCAGUGGCUGUAAUUCGGUAACCACUAUCCCACCGUUUAUGAAUGCCCUCACUGGGAUAAAGAAAAUCAAGCUCCACAACCUGGAAAAACAAAGAUAUCUCAGUCAAAACGUUUUAUGCUUAACAGAAAUAAAGACACAUCCAGGACAGUAAUAGGGAACACAAGGCACUCUUCUGACGGUAACAGCCCAUGUUUUUUUAAAAGAGGUGGGGAAUGCCAAGUUUCUGUUAAUUCAUAGCUCAAUUCCUUUCCCUUCUCCCUGUCAAUUAACAUAACAACUGUGAACAGCACCAAUAAGACUUUAAAGUUUAAACGGCAUGCAUACACCCCAAAAAAAAAUAAUAAAGAAGGGACAUAAAACUCUUCUAGGCAAAAAUUCUCAAGACAUUCCACUGCAUGAAGAAGAUAAAAAAGGGCAAUUUGCACCAGUUGCACAGCAUCCACUGUUGUCUAAGUUGAAUCAAUCUAAGAUGGCGAUUUUUCCAUUUUCCCACCCUAGCACAAAUGUCUAAAAAUGCAAAUUAGUUCAAUGGUUUUGAGGCAAAAUGUCUAAAAGUUUGUGCAGCUGAUAAGGGGUGAAUUGGGUCAAAUCUGCAAAAUAACCAGAAAACGAAGAAACAAGUAACCUAACCUGAUCACUGAAGCCAGAGUUUCGGGACAUGACCACAGCCCACCGAGUACCAGCAGUAGCCAUAGAUGUCACGUGAAACCCUUCCUUCCACUUCUUGUUAAUCCACUUGAAUGGAAAGGAAUCACUUACUUUGUAAGAUUGUUGGUUAUACAUGGUGCCUGCAGAGUAACAGGAAUUUAGUAUUAAGAGGCAAGAUAUUCAACUAAUAAAACUGAUCGAUCACACGUCCAAGGUUACAAAAAAUUAUUAUGCAUACAACUUUUUGCUCAAAAAGAGGAAAAGUAAAAAUAGUAAACCAGGCUAAACCAGGCUUCAUGCUAAUUCCCAAGCCCAAGGAGAUAAACUCCUGGUCCUUCCUCUUUUCUUUUUUUUUUUUUUGGGGUGGAGGGGACAAGGGUUGCAAAGGAACAAUAAAUCACAACUUGAUGUGGCAUGGACACUUGCAAAAUGAAAAUUGAGUCAUCUGUCCAGUAUUAGCACAAAAAUUGAAAUUAUACAGCACAACCAGAAUGAAGCAAUUUUAGAGUAUUAGCACAUCCCAGUCUCACUUUGUUCCCUCAAGAGACAAAUACUUAGCACAAGAAAUCUGUCAAUCUGAGCUCUACAAUGGUUCACAUAGACUAAUCUCCACAGAGACAAGCCACUGUUACAGCUCACCCAAAUGGACAAGAUGCACAAAUAAUGGUAGCAAUACUUAAGAAUUGUUUCCCUAUUCUUGAUUCAUCCGAAAGCAUUUUAGCAAGUAUAAUUAUGUUUAACUGAUUGAUAACAGACACCAUAUUUUGCAAUCUUACCUUUUGACAUUACCACUAACGAACUUCCAUUGGUUGCACCAGCAAGACAGCUGAUAUAGUAGUUCUUGUCCCACUGGUCCAUAAUCCACUCCUGUAAUAAAAAAAUAAUUGCACUUAGAGGUCACUUGGUCGGUGAAGUUCCAGAUAAGGACAAUAUCUCUGUUUGUCAACAAAACAGGUUAUGCAAAUAACUUACCUUGUGCAAGAAAAAAGGUGAUAUCUCAAAAACUUGGCUUGUAAAAUUAGUCCCAGCAUCCAUAAUAAUAGCCCACAAGUUGGAACAUGAUGCCACAGAACUUAUAUACAACCCAUCUUCUACCCCUCUUUCUACAUGUUGCGCUAAUCUUGCAUCCGAUACAUUAUAAUGGUACCUUUUGUGUAGAACCAAACAAAAAGAGGAUAAAAAAGGGUAUUCAAUAGGCAAUGACAUUAUGGCAAUGGCAGAGGACUAUCUACAUAUAUAAAUACACACGCACACAUAUACACAUACACAAUAGUCCUUUUGUCAUUUUCCCCAACUUUUUAUCCAAAAUUUUUUUUCUUUUAGGUUAUGUGGGUAAGCUUCACCAUCCCAGAACCACUGACAAAUAUAUUCUGGUCUAUUUUCCCCCUUUAACAGAAGCAGCCGGAACCAAAAAAGAACAAAGAGGAAACAAUGCUUCCAAUCUAUGUUCAAACCAAGUACUUACUGUUUCAGGAUUCAGAUUAGACAACAGAACACCCCGGUAACUUGAGAAAUAAAACAAUAUCAGAUAGCAUGAACUGAACUACCACCAUUCUAAGAGAAAGAUCUUUUUUUUUAACCUCUGUUUCAUAGGCUUCCUAGCAUUGUAAAUUGAAACCCAUUGUGAUGCUGGGACUCCCAUACGAACUUUCUUCCUCGGCUGUUCCUCUUCAUCCUCAUCAAGAUUCAAUCUGGGUCGCUUUUGGCCGAUUUGGAUAAUCUAGCAAAAAAGUUAAUAAAUAAAAGCUAUAAAAUGAUUAUGAACAUCAAAUAAAGGAAAGCAGAACAUGUACUCGGGUAAUAAAAGAAUCACCUUUUGAGCACCAUCUGUAUUUAAUGGUCGGGUUGCAGGAUCGGCAGCAAUCAUACCCUCAAAAAUAGAUAUUAACUUUGAAUACUUUGGCUCUUCGUCAAAUUUCAAGUUAACAACAGUUUCAAGAAAUUCUCUGAGAGGGGCAGGGCAAAAGCAACAUAGCGCUUCAGGAGCUGUUGCCAUCUUUUUCUUAGCCACCUGGAAUGAUUUGUUAUCACCCUGAGGUAAAAAGAUUGAACACGAGUAAAACAGCUGAAGAGGACAUCAGAAAAAUAAAGUAGACAUAGGGCUUAGCCGAAUACUCCAGUCUAAAGGUCAGAAAGUAGGACAAGGAAGUACCUGAAAACCUUGCCAUGGCAACCUGCCUCUGUGGAGAAAAAUAAGCGUAUAUGCAAGUGAUUCUAAAUCAUCCCUUCUACUAGCAGUCCUUCCUAAGUGAGCAUGCACACUAGCAUAGCGGACGGUCCCUCUGGGACAUCACCAGAAUGGGGGGAAAAGAGUAUUUAGUGGAAGCAGAGUUAUUCGAACAUCAGACUUUACAGUAUGAGCAACAUUCACCUGAAUAUGUCAGGACGCUGAUCAUAUUCAACAUGUUGCCCCCUGGUGCUGUCUCUCCACUUAGUUGCUGCAAUAAACGCAUAGAUACAAGUAAAAUGGAAAGUAUGGGAAAUUGUUUAAAAAAAAAAAGGAGAAGAACAAAUAAGAAGUCUAUUAGGUUGUGUGUCUCACCUAAUCCUAAAUCUACAAGAAACAACUUCUUUUCUUGAGGUGUUGAUGGCUGGCCGAGCAAAAAGUUCUCAGGCUUUACAUCCCCAUGCACAUACCUAAUUUCAUGAAACGUAAACCAUGGCAAGACAAACAUACAAACAUCAGUAGAUCCCAUCAAUACCAUACGAAACAUUAAGAGAUACAGACUGAAGGUAGGAACAAGAAAAAGGUGGUGUAAUACCCUUUUGCAUGCAGCUUCUCCAAUAUUGACAAGGAUUCAACUGCAAUGCAAGCAACCAUUUCCCCAGACAUCCUGCUAAUUGUGCAUGAUCAGUUCAAAAGCAAGGCGACUAAGUACAAUAUAUAUCUUAGCGAAAGUGAGAAACAACAGCAGCAACCAAUUCUGCUGAUACACUGCCUACUCCACCUACAAGGUUUCAAAAUACACUAAGACAGCAACAGAUAUCAAAACCAUUGGCAAAAAGUCAACCUUAGUUUAAAAUAAAACUAUUGGCAUCUCAAAAGAAGAUAACAGACUAUCACUUUACCCAAUUUAUCUUGUCUCCUACAUCAUCAUGGCAUAUGACCCGUUCUUAUACUUUUUUAUGCACAUACUAUUAAUCAACAGCAAGCAUCUGAAAUUGAACUUCAAAAUGCACCAAAACAGCAACCAAGUGCAAUACUACGAUAAAAGAGAACUCCUACUUCAACAAACAUCAAGCAUGCUGAAAGGAAGUUAAAUUUUAGUGUGCAAAAUGAAACCCAAUAGACAUGUAAAAGAGAACAUGGCACACUAUAUAAGCAACCCUUCAGAAACUUACGACUGCCCUGAGGAGUUCCAAACAUCCCACAAGCUGGGCCCUAACAUGUCCAUGACCUACCACAUUCAAAAAGCAAUCUAUCAGCAUACAUAUAGCCGGAACAGCAAUUCACAAAUCCUACACGGGCGUGUCUAAAGACACAUGUGCAGUACAAAGGCUAAAUGCAUUUAGCACUCAGAUCAUACCAUUACAUAGUAGUCUCCUUGUUUUCCUUUAUAGUGUACUUUAGGCACUCCAUGGCUACCUCCAAGAGUGCUAUUAAGAUAGAAGCAAAAAGAUUUUUACAAUUGAGAAAAUGUAGAAACGCUUGCUAAGGAGAGGAUUCAAAUGCAUACUUGUAAACCUGCCACUCAUAUGGAGGACCAUAGCUGCAGCCUUUGCUAUUUCUAUGCUCAAAUUUCAGAGCUACCUGAAAUGACAAACAACAUCAAAAUUAAAUCACAACAUCUGCAUUUAUUUGUGAUGCUGUUUAUUUUGAAUAGAUAAACGUAGUUUCUUGACUAAUUUAAAGAAAACGGGAGAAAAUUAACACUACCUCCACAGCUCCAGGACCUGUUGUCCGCUCUCCACCAGAAACACGACGACCCAAAAAAACCUGUCCAAAGCCACCUUUACCUAAUUUCCUCUCAACCUUAUACAUGGGUGAGCCUCCAACUUGCACCUGAAAAUCCACUCCAACAUAAGGAAAAAAUGUUCUUAACAUGCAUAAAGAAGAUGAGUCCACUAAUAACUUUCCUGUCUAAUAAAGCAAGCAAAUAACCCAAUUUUUAAAAAAAUCAGCAGGGGAUGGUUGGGAUUUAAGAUACCAGGGGGAUGAGGAGGGGGAAGGGGAUGAAACCGGGGACUUCUAAAUCCCGAGGUCUCAAUCCUGGCCAUUAGACCAAGGCCUCUACAAAAAGCCACAUAACCCAAUUAUCAACAUGCCAAACCAAAAAUAACUUCUUAGUCUUAAAUUAUAAAAGCACAAUUUGAGUUCUUGCAAAUCAUCAGAACAAGAGCUGCACCAAAUUUCUUCCACAGUCAGAUACAACGCCACCCCCAAGGCAUGAAGUCUUUGGGACUAAAAGCAUUGCAAAGUAACUAUAAAUUGGGAUCUACCUCAACACCCCUCUGCCAAAAUUCUCAAACAUGUGCUUUUACAUAAGAAGAUACACAGAUUGAGAUGCAAUUGAGCUUGUUCACUAACCCAAAUAUCAUUAGUUAAACCAAAAAUUUAGGAAAAAAAUCACCUUGAUGAAUUAGCACAUUGAAUGCCUGCAUUUACAUCUUUCAGCCCAUACAAACGCGCAUAUAGAUACAAAAUCAACAAAGUACUGCAUGCAGGCCCAUUUAUAAUUCAUCUUUACUCCCACCUACACAAACUAACCCAUCCUAUGCUGCAAUUAACUACGUAAGUGAUUAAUGAAACAGCGCUCCCCCCCCCCAAAAAAAAAAAGGAAUUAACCUUAUCAGGAAAAGAUGCAAGAGAGGCAUCAUCUUCUAGUCCAGCACUCCCUUUAGCACUCAUACCCCCACUUUCAUCCCCCAUCUUUUUGACCUUUUCCUCAACCACCACCGCCGCUUCUUCUUCCUCCUCCUCCUUUACCUUUUCCUUUUCCUUGUUAUCCGCCUUAGCUUUUCCCUUUCUUACCCUUUUCACCGGCUUUAACUCCUCCUCUACCUCAGCUACCUUCCCCGCCGCUUCCGCCGCUGCUUUAGCUUUCGCAGCACGAGUUUUAAUAUAGUUCCCAGCAAACCCAACACCUGCCGCCUCUCCUUCUACUUUCCCCUUCCUCGCCUUCUUUUCUUCUAUUUCCUUUCCUUCCCCAGCCGCUGCUGGCGGCAAAACCGGUGGAACUACUGUCGGCGAACCACAAAGGCCUAGACGAACUCCGGCCCGCAACUCCGACAUUUGCAGAUACCACAACCCAUGCAAUGAACCCUAACCCUAAUUGAAUUUACCACCAUCAGUACUACCUUUCUCUCUGUCGCAGUCCUCUUGAUCUUCUUCAGCUAAGAAAGCAUCAUUUCCGGAACCCUGAAAUCUAGCAUUAAUUGAAAAUUAAUAGAAAUAAAGUGUUUAUAAUCGGAAUCUUGACAAAGAAAAAGGGGAAAUCGGGGGAAGAAAUCUGGGGUUUGAAUUUUGGUGAAAUUGGGACUAGGGUUCGAGACGGAAAGCACGCAUGCCAAAAUAUCUCUGACUCUCUGUAUAUGUGUUGGAAAAAAGGUGAGAUAGUGCCAAAGAAAAAGGAAAGAAAACUGGUGUAUGAGUUUGGGCUCUUUCUUUAUUUGUAAAAUUAUGGCAUGUUUUGUGAAUUGCUCGAUGAGUACGUGGUCUAACUUUUCUAGAAGAAAAGAAUGGUGACCUACAAUUUUUUUUAAAGCAAAUUUAGCCCAUUUGGAUUGCUAUUUUUUUUGGGUUUUUUUAUAAAAAAAUAUAUUAUAACAAUUCGACAUAUAUGAGAUAAAAAAUAAUUAAAAAUUUGUUCGUAGAAUGUAAACAUUUUUAGAAGAUCGGAUAGAUAUUUUUCUAAAUUUUUGCUUGCAUCAUAAAUAUAUAUUUUCCAAUGCAUCCUUUUAUGUUCCCAAUCACAAUUACUUUUGUUACGUCGUAUAUAUCAUAUCAUAAAAAACGUUACAAUGAUUAUUCCAAAUAAUACAGCAUUUUAUCCAAACACAUUAAAAUCCAAACAAAAGUGCAUUUGACCUAUGAGUUUGGGGUAGCUGGUAAGCGAGGUGAUGAUGCCAAUAGGAGGUCGCAAUUAGAUUCCUACAUGUGGCACUUUAAAAAGUUCUAGCCAAACCUUCACCUCUGAAUAAGAGUCAGACUUUGCAAGCAUUUCUCUAGUCAAAUAUGAUGGAUUAGUCUUAUUUGAAGGUGGGGAUAUCAAGUGUUCAGUGGGAAAACAAAAAAAAAAAACAAAAGUUCAUUUGGAUAGGAUUUAUUUAUCCAAAAAAAAAAUUCUUGUAUCAUAAACAUAUUUUUUGAUAUAUUUUUUUAUUUUUUCAAUCACCUUUUAUCUCAUGUGCAUUAUAUUGUUAAAAGUUCUAAAGUAAUUAUUUCAAAUAAUCUCCUAUUUAAACAAGAUAUUAGCAAGUUCAGAAAAAAAAAAAAAAAACUUUCAAACCCCCAGUUUACUGUUCAUAUUAUUUUAUGUCUAAACUACUCUAUGACUUUUAAGAAUAGCUAUUAAAAUUGGCUAGUUAUUUUCAUGUUGAUGUCCAGUAAAGCUGAAAAAUAAUUUUAAAAAAAUUGACAAUUGAGUUGAUCUAUGCUUUUCAUAAACUUUGAAGUUGUCAUAUGUAGUAUCAUUUUUUUUAUCUGUGCAUUUUAACUUGAUAGCUUAAGCAUCAAAUUUAAUAAUUAAUGAAAGGCUUGGAAGCCUUAAUAGCAAUCGUCAACCACCACACUUGCGUAGGAGGUGUGAAUCGGUAAUUCGAAACUUUGAAAUUGGAAUUUUUUGAAGUUUUGGCAUCAGAAUUUCUGAUCGAAUUCGAUUUCGAAUUCACUAACUUCGAAUUUGAAUUCAAUUCGAAAUUCGAUAAAUUUUGAUUUCACUGAAUUCAGGAAUAUAAAAUUUAUUAUUAUAAUAUAAAUAUUAUAUUACAUAUAUAUAUAAAUAUAUAUAUAUAUAUAUGAAAAACUAAUUUGACAUCGAAAUAGGAAUUCCGAAUCACCGAAUUCAGGAAUAUAAAAAUUAUUAUUAUUAUAUAAAUGCUAUAGUUCAUAUAUAUAAAAAAAUAUUAUAUAUAUAUAUAUAUGAAAAAUGAAUUUGAAAUCAAAAGAGGAAUUCCGAAUUCCGAUUUCAAAUUCACGGAAAUUCAGAUUUGAAAAAUCCCAUUACUGAAUUCAAACCAAAUUCGCAUAAUUCAAAAUCGGAAAACCCGAUUUCAAUUCUGAAUUCCGAAUUACCGAUUUCAAAAAUUCCAAAUUAAAUUCGAAUUCGAUUGAUAAAUCAGAAUUUUUCGAUUUUGCACACUCCUACACUUGCACUAUUUCCCGUAGCUCCUCACAAGAGUCACAGAGAAAAAGGGGGGAAGAAUGUCACAACAUGAAAAUCCACUAGUACUAUCAAUCUGCUAACCAUAAAGUUCCAACUCGGAUGAAAAAUCAAAAAGCUUAUUACGAUAAUAUGGUGGAACUAGUGACUCUUUUUGCUUUGAUCUUGGUGGCAUUGGUAUCUAUAUUAGUCAUGGAUUGGGGUUUUUGUGCAAGUAGGAGCUAAUUAAGGCAAUGAGUAAUGCAAAAUUUGGUAGAAGGUUGCGUAGUUAGGUUCAGUAGAGUUAGAAGCAGUGGUUGUGGUUCUACGUUGCAACUAGGUGAUAUGGGGUUGGCUGGGGUGGGUUCUUAGGGACAACAAGUCUUCUGUUAUGCAAUGGUUGUGAAACAUUCAAGCUACAUGCUUUAAUAUGUUGAUAUCUGCGCUCUUUAAAUUAUCACAGUUAUACUUUUAAUUAAGUUGAACUUUAUAAAAAAGACACGUGUUAACACAUCAGGAUGUGUAAUAUAGACGUUACAUAUUAGUAUAUAACAGAAGAUGCAUAGUCGUCGUUGAACCUCUUUGUCAUGGCUUAAGGAAAGAGUAUGCACAAAAUACCCAUAACCAUUGUUAGGCUUCUUUAUCAUGGCUUAAGAAAGGAGUAUGGGUCAUAAUAGAGAUGUAAUCGAACCGAGCUGCUCGUAAGCACGGUCAAAAACUUGACUCGAACUCAGGUUGACCAAGUUCGAGUCGAGUUCGAGCAUCCAGAAGCAUUGUUCGAAGGAUUGUCGAGACUUAUCGAGCUUUUUAAUUUUAAUUAUUUAAUAUAUUAUUAUUAUAAAAGUACCCUUAUACCCAAAAGAGUUGUUGAAUUUACGAAAUGUUUCAAAUCAUAUAAAAAUUUUUAAAGGGCAAUAAUUGUUUUUUCGCUAAAAAAUUAUCAAGAAAAUGAAAAUUUUUAACUCAAGCUCGAGUUCGAGCUUGAGCGAGUAGUAUUAUUGCAUGUCGAGUCAUACUCGAGGUCGAUUCGACUCGAUUACAUCCCGAGAUCAUAAUCGUGUUGGUGACAAGGUACAAGUGAGAGUUGGUUGACUUUAGUGAGUCGUUUGAAACUUUAAGACCCGUUUGGCAAGUGAAUUUUUUUGUUAUUUGUCUAAAAUCUUACUGUAAUUUACUGUAAAAAUUUUUAUAAAAUUUUUUAAAGUGUGUUUUUUUUUAAUAUUUUGAAGUGUAUAGUAUAAAAAUUUUAAAAAGUUUUUUAAGAUUAGUGUAGUUAAAGUUUUAAUAUUAGUUCACUGUAAAACUUUUUAUAAAUUUUUUUGAAGUGUGUUUUUGUUUAAUAUUUUGAAGUGUAUAGUAUACAAAUUUUGAAAAGUUUUUUAUGAUUAGUAUAAUUAAAGUUUUUAAAAAAUUUAUAACUGACAGACUUGACAAAAAACUUAACUGCCAAAUAAGGCCGUGUAUGAUGUGAGGCAAAGCGUUAAAGACAAUUUUGUCAUAAAAGAAUAAAAAAAUUGAGGGAGGAGGGCCCGGGUCCAAAUUGGUAGUGCAAAUAACGGCUGCCUUUUAACAAUCAACUAUUCCAAAAGAUAUCUCCAAUCAACGUGGUCAACGUUUGUUUUCAAACUUGCAUUUAUGAAUUGCCUAUAAAGCUAUAACAUAUUUUCUUUUAAGCAACUCGAAAAAAUCGUGAAACACAUCAAUCUUUAAAGACGUCACUUGUGAAAAAUUAAAACAAUUGAUAACAUACAGGAAAUUCUUCCAAACUCGUGGUCUUCACAAUAUUAAUGAUUUUUUCUAUUUUCACGUGAUAAAAUUGGACCUCAUGAUUUGGACUUUUCCAUUGCUAGGUAAUAAUAUACGAAGGGUUUGUUUGGAUUGGCCUUUAUUUUCCCAAAUAUAUUUGCUUACAUGAUCAUUACAAUUUUCAAUACACUUUUUUACCUUCUCAAUUACCUUUUUAUCUCACAUACAUCACAUCACAAAAAGUACUACAGUAAAAAUAUCUCAAAUAACUUAUAAUCCAAACAAACCCAGGCAAAGAAAGUUUUGUUGUUGAGUAACUAGUGAUAGAUCUGGAAAGCUUUAGGUAGUUGUGGUGGUAAAUGAGCAGAGAAAAUUAAUUGAUAGGCAAUAUCAUAAUAAUAGCACCACAUAUUUGUAAGUUGUACCUUUUUAGUCUUUCGAUGAUUCAAGUUUGAUGAUUACAAAUUGCAGCUAAGGAGAUAGCCAAGAGAUGAAAUCUUGGAUGGGUUUUAAAGGAUCAAAUAUGGCUUAGUUUCGGUUAUUGCAUCAUAUCAAAUGGGUAAAGAAACAAUAAACAACCCUAAGGGAUGGAAUAGAAUAGAGAAAGGGUUUGUUUUACAUUUAUUUUUUAAAGUUUUUGAUUUGAAUGAGUGUGCAAGAGUUGGGGAUGUUUUUGAAAUAUUUUAUUGUAGUAAUAUAUAUGAAAAACUUUUACUGUAAAUAUUUUUAAUGAUGUUUUUUGAGAUAUUUUUGAGAUAUAUUUUAGGGUAUUUUUAAGAUUUAAAAAUUUUUAGAAUAAUUUUUAAAAAUUAACACUCCACCCACAAUCAAUAUCCACCACCGCUAUCAUCCCCUCUCUCCCUCCUCCUCUCUUAUUCCCGUACCUCUUCCUCCUCCCUCUCUCCCCUCCCACCCUUUCCUUUCCUUCAUUUUCUCGCUAGAACCCGGGCCUCCCCUUCCUUGCUCUUUCCAAUUUAACCUCAUUGAGACCGGAUCCUGGCCUUCGAUUGAGGCCUUCUGGUUGAGGCUAGAGGGGAGGAGAUGGGGUAUCGUGUGGAAGGGAAAAGGAGAGGAGGAGGCAGAGGGAAGGAGAGGAAUGAGGAGGAAAAAGAGGGAGAGGAAAGAGGAGAAAAGAGAGGGAGGAGUAAGAUGGUGGGUGGGGGUGAUAGAUUAAAGAAGAAGAUAAUAUAGAUUUUAUUUUUUAAUUUUUGAUAUAUUUGAAAUUAUUUUUGAUAUAUUGUAUGGAUAUGGUAUUUUUAGAAUUAUUUUUAUAUGUGUUGCUGUAACAUUGUAUGUGAAAAAAUUGGUUUUUCAAAAAGUGGAGAAUCCAAAUAGAGCCUAAGUUCUUUGGACUACAAGAUAUGGUAUCACAAUGUGCUCGGCAUCAUGAUCAUCUAAUUGACAAAUAAGGGUAGCCAUGAUUCAAAUUUGAACUGGAACACAACCGAAAUCAGAUUGACAAUUUAUUGAAUUGCAACUAGAAUUGAAUUUUGGAAACCAAAAUUGAAACCAUAACCGUGACUAAAAUUUAGGUUCAAAUUCACUAAAAUUUUGAACCAGAAUCAAAAUCAACGGUUUACUAACCGCUCAAACCAUUUGAAAAAAUAUUUGCUACCUAAACGUAUUUAACUAGUUUAGAGUUCAACGUCAAUACUCACCAUUUAAUACUCGUAACUCCAAUUAUGAUCCAACAACUAUUUGUCCCAUUCCAUUAGUAAGUCUAUACUCCAUGACUAAUCUAAAUCCAAGAUGAAUAUAAUUUAAUUAACAAUGAGAUAUUUUUCAUAAAAAUUGCAUCAUUUUUCUUUUUCCUUACACAUGAUAGCAUAAUAAAUUUCUUUCUUUCUUUUUUUUUUUUUUUUUUUACAUUCAUUGUCAUUUUUUCCUAUAACCAAUUUUACGAUAAUAAGUCUUUAAACAUAACUAAAAAAAUUGGAACCGUAAUCGAAAAAAAUCAAAACCAUGACUAGUGCCGAAGGUUCAAGAACCGUAACCAUAAGCAUCCUUAUAAGGAUCGGUUUAGGUUUUCCUUUUAACAAAAUCAAAAUCUUCAAUUUUUAAAUCGAAAGUAUUGAUUUUAGAACCGUGGUCAUGCCUAUUUGGCAAAUGGGAGCACAUGUUACUCCAAAUCAAAGAAAAUGUGGGGUUGUCAAUCCACUCAAGGUGUGGAAAAUAGAAGUAUAAGCUGAAUUGGUGGAGGCAAGGCAAUUGUAAUAUUUGCAAAAGUAAAUCUUAUAUACACUGAAAAUGUUUACACAUCACCAUUUGAUUCAUGAUAUACAGGAAAUUCUUCCAAACUCGUGGUCUUCACAAUAUUAAUGAUUUUUUCUAUUUUCACGUGAUAAAAUUGGACCUCAUGAUUUGGACUUUUCCAUUGCUAGAUAAUAAUAUAAGAAGGGUUUGUUUGGAUUGGCCUUUAUUUUCCCAAAUAUAUUUGUUUUCAUGAUCAUUACAAUUUUCAAUACACUUUUUUACCUUCUCAAUUACCUUUUUAUCUCACAUACAUCACAUCACAAAAAGUACUACAGUAAAAAUAUCUCAAAUAACUUAUAAUCCAAACAAACCCAGGCAAAGAAAGUUUUGUUGUUGAGUAACUAGUGAUAGAUCUGGAAAGCUUUAGGUAGUUGUGGUGGUAAAUGAGCAGAGAAAAUUAAUUGAUAGGCAAUAUCAUAAUAAUAGCACCACAUAUUUGUAAGUUGUACCUUUUUAGUCUUUCGAUGAUUCAAGUUUGAUGAUUACAAAUUGCAGCUAAGGAGAUAGCCAAGAGAUGAAAUCUUGGAUGGGUUUUAAAGGAUCAAAUAUGGCUUAGUUUCGGUUAUUGCAUCAUAUCAAAUGGGUAAAGAAACAAUAAACAACCCUAAGGGAUGGAAUAGAAUAGAGAAAGGGUUUGUUUUACAUUUAUUUUUUAAAGUUUUUGAUUUGAAUGAGUGUGCAAGAGUUGGGGAUGUUUUUGAAAUAUUUUAUUGUAGUAAUAUAUAUGAAAAACUUUUACUGUAAAUAUUUUUAAUGAUGUUUUUUGAGAUAUUUUUGAGAUAUAUUUUAGGGUAUUUUUAAGAUUUAAAAAUUUUUAGAAUAAUUUUUAAAAAUUAACACUCCACCCACAAUCAAUAUCCACCACCGCUAUCAUCCCCUCUCUCCCUCCUCCUCUCUUAUUCCCGUACCUCUUCCUCCUCCCUCUCUCCCCUCCCACCCUUUCCUUUCCUUCAUUUUCUCGCUAGAACCCGGGCCUCCCCUUCCUUGCUCUUUCCAAUUUAACCUCAUUGAGACCGGAUCCUGGCCUUCGAUUGAGGCCUUCUGGUUGAGGCUAGAGGGGAGGAGAUGGGGUAUCGUGUGGAAGGGAAAAGGAGAGGAGGAGGCAGAGGGAAGGAGAGGAAUGAGGAGGAAAAAGAGGGAGAGGAAAGAGGAGAAAAGAGAGGGAGGAGUAAGAUGGUGGGUGGGGGUGAUAGAUUAAAGAAGAAGAUAAUAUAGAUUUUAUUUUUUAAUUUUUGAUAUAUUUGAAAUUAUUUUUGAUAUAUUGUAUGGAUAUGGUAUUUUUAGAAUUAUUUUUAUAUGUGUUGCUGUAACAUUGUAUGUGAAAAAAUUGGUUUUUCAAAAAGUGGAGAAUCCAAAUAGAGCCUAAGUUCUUUGGACUACAAGAUAUGGUAUCACAAUGUGCUCGGCAUCAUGAUCAUCUAAUUGACAAAUAAGGGUAGCCAUGAUUCAAAUUUGAACUGGAACACAACCGAAAUCAGAUUGACAAUUUAUUGAAUUGCAAGCAACUAGAAUUGAAUUUUGGAAACCAAAAUUGAAACCAUAACCGUGACUAAAAUUUAGGUUCAAAUUCACUAAAAUUUUGAACCAGAAUCAAAAUCAACGGUUUACUAACCGCUCAAACCAUUUGAAAAAAUAUUUGCUACCUAAACGUAUUUAACUAGUUUAGAGUUCAACGUCAAUACUCACCAUUUAAUACUCGUAACUCCAAUUAUGAUCCAACAACUAUUUGUCCCAUUCCAUUAGUAAGUCUAUACUCCAUGACUAAUCUAAAUCCAAGAUGAAUAUAAUUUAAUUAACAAUGAGAUAUUUUUCAUAAAAAUUGCAUCAUUUUUCUUUUUCCUUACACAUGAUAGCAUAAUAAAUUUCUUUCUUUCUUUUUUUUUUUUUUUUUUACAUUCAUUGUCAUUUUUUCCUAUAACCAAUUUUACGAUAAUAAGUCUUUAAACAUAACUAAAAAAAUUGGAACCGUAAUCGGAAAAAAUCAAAACCAUGACUAGUGCCGAAGGUUCAAGAACCGUAACCAUAAGCAUCCUUAUAAGGAUCGGUUUAGGUUUUCCUUUUAACAAAAUCAAAAUCUUCAAUUUUUAAAUCGAAAGUAUUGAUUUUAGAACCGUGGUCAUGCCUAUUUGGCAAAUGGGAGCACAUGUUACUCCAAAUCAAAGAAAAUGUGGGUUGUCAAUCCACUCAAGGUGUGGAAAAUAGAAGUAUAAGCUGAAUUGGUGGAGGCAAGGCAAUUGUAAUAUUUGCAAAAGUAAAUCUUAUAUACACUGAAAGUGUUUACAUUAUCACCAUUUGAUUCAUGAUAUGUAUGCAAAAAUUAAAUUUUAAAUUUGAAUUUUGUAUAGUUGUCAUUCAUCUAACGCUGAUAGUGUAUAUACACUGUUAGUGUAAAAAAAAUUAAUCCUAUUUGAAUCUAAAAGUAAGAAAUAUAAGUGUGUGCUUAAAAUUCCAAGAAGCUGUUAUCUCGAAACGAGCUUUAGACCAACAAAUCCUCAUAAAACAAGGCCAAGAAGCUAUUCAAGAAACCAAUUAUAUAUUGAAUCUUCAGUAAUUAAUCGAUUAGGAAAGUUCUUGACUAAGCAUGCAUAAUGCAAUGGAACAUUUAAACCGUCUUUCUGGACUUCUUAAAUUUGUUGAGCCUUUAGUGUACUUUAGGUUUAAUUUGCCUUGCAUAUGCGACUAAUUUUAAUCCAUAUAUUUUGUUCAGUGACUUGAGUCUAAGGCUUGUCAGUAAAAUUAAUCGCUUGCUAGCAUUAUACAGUUUCAAUAGCAUUUUUUACAUUGUGAUAUAUGCGAGAACAAAAGAUUAUUGAAAAGAUAUAAAUUUUGAUUGGAAAAUAUGUUUAUAAUGCAAACAUAUAAUUUUUUGUAAAUAUAAUGUGAUAUCCAAACAAACCCAUUGUUAUAGCUAUCUUUUAGGCAGAUGAAGAAGCAAAACUGCGUGCCAACUGGUGCAUUGCAUACAAAACAAUUAAGACUUUGUUUGAUAACUCAACUUAAUCCUUAAUUUUAAUGGAUUUAAAUUUUAAUAUUUUCAGAUCGUUUGAUAAGCAAAUAUUGAGCAUCUAAAUUUAAUAAGUGGCACUAAAUUUUUUAUGCAAAAUUUGUUCCAAAAUUAAAUGAUAAACUAUUCAUUUAUCACUGAAUCUGAUAUGCACUCAAAUGUAUUAGAUUUAAUGUUUAACAAUUCAAUAACUUAAUGGAUUCAAAUUUCAUAUUUCAAACUUUAAUUUUAUUAAACGCACCUAAGUAUCAAUCAAGUUCCUAUAACUUCAUGGCAUAAUCCUAUUGCCAUUUCUAGCUCAAACACUGGGUUUGUUUGAAUCCAUUAAACAAUUGACAAAUAAUUCUACAAAUAAUACUCAAUUUUUUGCAUGAGCUUCAAUGUUGAUUAAUUUGUCAAUUGUUUCCAAUUUUUUGCGGCCAUUUACUAUUUUUAUGCGUCUAAUUAGAAGUAUGAAAAGAGAUAUGUACCAUGACAGAUUUUUAUCAAAAUUUUAACAUAUUAAUUACUGCAACUUUUUCAACGAUCGAAUAUGCACGGAGCCACAACGUUAAAUUACUCAUUUGAUGAUAUAUUCACACUAAAAAAGAAUGACUGGCUUGGGAUGUUAUUCAGAAAUAGAGUGCAAUUUAGGUAAGUAUAAUUGUAAAAUCUAAAAUUUUUGUUGUCAUUCGUGAUUUAUGAAAUUUUUUUCUAAAAAGCUCCCAAUAAAUGAAAAUGGUUACUACUAUUAUACCUUCAGUCACACCUCACAUUUCCAAAAUAUUGUCAUUAAACACUUUGCAGAUAAUUAAUUGAUGUAUUUGAAUCACCACUUUUAUUCUUUUCAAGUACAUAAUGAAUACAAAAUUUUGCUAGUGAUAUUCUCAAUCUCAAAUAAACAUCCUCUUUUAAUGUAAUCUCAAAUUAAUUCAACUCUAUCGUCUAUAACCAAAUCUCAAAAGAAUUCAGUUCUUGUUUAAAUUGAAGGCCUCAUUUUACAAAUGAGUUUUUUUAGCGUUUGUUUAAAAUUUUAAUGUAGUAUUGUAGGAAAAAUUUUUAAAGUGUAUAAAAUUUUAGAUAUGUUGAAGUGUAUAGUUUAAAAAAUUUAAGAAGUUUUUUGAGGUUAUUGUAGUUAAACCUUUUAAAAAAUUUGUAGAAAUCAAAAUUGACCAAAAUCUUGUUUGCCAAACGAGGCCAAACACGCCCGUAGGCCUCGUUUGUCAAAUGAUUUUUUUUGAUAUUUAUCUAAAAUUUGACUGUAACUUCAUUAGAAGUUAUAGAAAAAAUUUUUGAAAUGUAAUUUUUUGAAUAUUUUGAAGUGUAUAGUUUAAAAACAUUGAAAAGUUUUUUGAGGUUAGUAAUAUUUAAAGUUUUAAAAAAUUUGUAAAAGACAAAUUUGGCAGAAAACUUAUUUGCCAAACAGACUCGUAAUUUUCUAAAGAAAAACUUUUAUAUUUUUCAUAUAUAUAUAUUUUAAUUAAUUUUUACUUCACCCAUAUCAAAUCAAAUUGAUACAAUAUAUAAUUUUUUUAAAUAAAAAUUAUAAAAAAUAAUCUAGACUAGACCUUGUAAUAUUCACGUUCUAUUCAGUAUCGGGUAGCAACCCGUGAGUCUCGUUAUUACUAGGGAUGGUAAUAGGGAUGGGUGCCCGCGGGUGCCCGCCCCGCGGGGGCUCACGGGGCGGGGGCGGGGUAUACUCCCCCGCCCCAUCCCCGCCCCGCCACCCGCAAAAAAAAAAAAAUAUAUAUAUAUAUAUAUAUAUAUAUAAAUGACUAUAUAUUAUAUGUAAGUUAAUUAGUUAUAAACUUAUGAUAAUGAUAUUAUUAAUUAGAUGUAUUAUAUAAUGUAUAUUAGUUUAUGUAAUAUAAUUGAUAUUAUCAAUUAUAUGAAUAAUUAUACAUGUCUACUAAUAUAAUUUAUUAAUUAGUUAUACUAAAUUUACUAAUACAUUUAUACUAAAUUUCUAAUUACACUUAAUAGAAUAACACUUUUUCUAAAAAAAAAGCACAAAACAAUGAUGAAUUAGUGAUUGCAUUUGUACUAAAAGUGAAAAUUUGACUAUUUUAGUUAUAUUUAUUUCAUCAUAUUGGAUUGUAUUCAAAUAACUUCUGUUUGAUUGUUUUUAUGAGUUUCAAUUGUAAAAUUACAAUGAAUAAUAAUUUGGUGAUGUGUUGAUAUUUUAGUACUUGAUUAUUUAUUAAAAUUUAAUUAUAAUAAAAUUUUAUUAAUCCCGCGAGUGCUCCGGGGCAAGACGGGGCUGGGGCGGGGCGGGGCGGGGGGAGCGGAGGCGGGGAACGGAGCGGGGGACGGGGGGAACUAAUAGGCAACGGGACGCGGGGACGGGGGAGGGGUCCCCGCCCCAACCCGCCCAGUUGCCAUCCCUAGUUAUUACCCAAUACCCAUACCCAUAUUCAAACGCCAAUGAUUAUCCAACCCCUCAACGUUCACUUUCCUCGGACUUCACUUCCCUCGUUCAAAUCCACUUCAUUCACUCCCCGAAAUUCCGCCUUCCCGCCUAGAAAUAUUUUCAAAUUCACAUUAAAAAACUCGCAGCAAAAGACAGGGAAGAAGAAGCCCUCCUUUUCAAAAACAAUACCCCAUUUCCUUCACCUUCUUCCUUACCCCCUCAAAAAACCCUUUCUACUCUUUCCCCAUUUUCCACAAAUCUCUUCCAUCGUUCUUGAACUAAUUCUUUCACCUCCGAAAUGGGGAAGAGGAAGGGUUCAUCGACGCCGGCAGCUUCGAGGGAGAAAUCUAGGGCUUCUUCUUCUUCUUCGGUAGAGAAGAAGUCGAAGCGACAAAGGAUGAAAGUUGAGUCGGUUCCGGCAAAUGUGGAUAGUGAUUUCAUGGAGGAGCCGGACGUGGUGGUUGUGUCGGAUGACAAUGAACGGGAGGAUGGAGGUGAGGUCGAGGAGAGAGCUCGCCUAUGUCGCCGGCUGAGAGGAAGACAAAAAGGCGCGUUCUUGCGGAAAAUGAGGAGGAAGGUGAUUUUCGGUUUCUUGGUGAGCCUGUUGCUGACAAGGAGGCUCGUUGUCGGUGGCCUCAUCGAUAUGCAGUCAAGCAAAAGGUCGGAAAUGUUUUGGUUUAUUGUAUAUAAUCGACAGCUAUGGAUUUGUACAUGUGUUUACCUGUGAAGAGUAGAUGAACUUAAUCUGAAAAGGGUAUCUUUUACGAUUCUUCACUUUUCGUUUUUUUUUCUGAGAGUAAGAUUUUAUUCUCCAUUUUUUGCGUAUUCUGAAAAAAUUAGGGCUUUUUUUUAAAGGGUUCUGGACAUUCUUUAUUGUGAUUAUAUUUGCAAGUACGUUGAAUGUGAAUAAAGUUUCAUGUCUUUCCUGAUACAAAGCUGGUUUUUGGCUGUUUUUGUAAGUAAUAAAGAACAAGGACUUUUGUUUUUUCCAAAGAAACAUUUGAGACGAUGUCAACUUUUUGGUCUUUUUAAUAUGAUACAAAUCAGUAGGAGCGCAAGCACAUGUAACCGAGAUUAUAGCAGAUAAAUUGAGGAAAAAGAUGCUGGAAAUAUUGUCGUUGUAGUAUGUCAGAUAUGGGAGCUAGUUUGGAGUAUUAAAAGGGUAUUGAUAGCUGGCCAGAUUAUCCUGAAUAAGCUCAAGUGUCUUUCAACAUGGACGCCCUGAAAACUAAUGUUAGCAGUUCCUUGGGCUUCUUCGCAAGUCUCUGUUUUAUUCUUAGAAUCUCACUGUUGAGGUUAACAUACGACCGUUCUAUGGACAUUGGGAUUGUAUUUCCUUCAGUUGUUUGCUAGUGUCAAAAGUUUUGUCUUUUGGAUCAUGCCAAGUUUGUCCAUUGGUCUUACGCUUUAAACUCGUUCUUUUGCUUUAAACUCGUUCUUUUAUCUUUCGGUGAAUCUAUAUGUUUUCCAUUCUGAGUCUAUCUCGUUUUGGGUGGAAAACUUUGGCUUUCGGAUAAUGCUUUGGUUUUAGUUACUUGUCACUAUAAAAUCUUUAUCUGGUUUAUUCGAAGUUUGAUAAUUAGUGUAUCCUUCUGCGAGUAUGGGUUUUAUAGACUUAAUGGGGGAUUACUCAUCUUGGCUAAGAUUAAUUUUGUCCACAACCUGCACGAACUCAAUGGGAACUUUUAGACGAGCAAAAAAUACUUUUCAAGUGGAUUCUGCGCAAACAAUUUUUCCAUUAGCUCCCUUUAGCAAAUAGGAGGCUGUAUGUUGUCAUUGUUUUAUCUUUCUGAUAAUUAGUAUCCUUUCUUUUAGUGAAUCUUUAUGAACUAAUAGUUAAAUAAAGGUAAUUGUUGUUCUUAAAAGAGCCUUAGUAUGAAAUACUUUUGGUUGGAUCUAAGUGUAGGAGAUACCCCAAUUAUGAACUAAAAAUGGUUUGGUUUUUUGUCAUUCAAACAAAACUUGUUCAUGUUAUCAGCUAUAAUCAUCAUGCUGAAUGUUGAUGUGCACAAAUUUAAUUUGAAUUUUUGGCUGAGUUAAUGAGCUAAUUGUUUUGGUUAUACAGAGGAAACAAAAUGCAGUUUUAAAAGACUCAAAAGGGUGAGUAUAUGGUUCUUGAUUAUUUAAUUUUCUCAUUCUAGUUCUACUUAUUAGAACUCUUUGCAUAUAAAUUGUUGUUCUUUAAUUGCUUGCAUUUUUUUUCUAUUCACUUGGAAAGUGAGGAUGACUCUGAAGAAUUUAUCGAUGCUAAAAGACACUUCACUCAAGCAGAAGUUGAUGGGCAGAUUUUUAACUUGGAAGAUGAUGCUUAUGUACAGGUACAGGAACUUUGCUUCCUUUUUCUAGUAAAUGGAAGAUUUUGCUAGUAUGACAUUUUGAGUGGGCUAGGUCUAGUCAUACCAAAUCAAAACCUAUCUAGUCUAGAGGUGACCUGCACAUAUCGUGUUUUCUGUCAAGGUUUUUAGCAUCUGUCAUGGGUGUGCAAUGAGCUUAAUGUAAGAUUCAUCUCUUGCUCCUGCAUUUGCUUUUUCCAGUGCUGUUAUGUAACAAGGAAAUAAUCUGUUCUCAGUAUAAAUAUGUAGUUGUUGUCAUAUCUUGAAACUCGAAUGCUAUGUGAUCUUUUUAACUUAUGAUUGUUAAGACUGAGUAAUGAUUUUGGAGAAGUAAAAGGAGGGUUUUAAGUUUGUUUACUUGGACUUAGAUGUCCAGCUUUUUUAAAUGGUCUCAGAUAUCAUAGACCAUGUAGUGUUCCAAAACUUAUGAGAUUUUGUGGAUGUGGCAUCGUUUCUAUUUCUUUUAACUGUCUGAAUUCUACGGGGUUCAUUAUCUUUCCAGAAAAUUUAAUGUGAAUUUCCUACCCAUAAAUAUCGUAACUUUUUUUGGGUGUCUUGUUAAUCUUGUUAUGUAUUGCAGGUGAUCCUUGUGGCUUAGCGUUUUUGCAUUGAAGAUUGUAUAAUCAAGGCCUAGAUAUUUUUUUCUUAUAAGUUGAUUCUAGUUUUUUCUUUCUUUCUUUUUUUGGGUUCAAUUUUCCCUUUGCUGAAAGCUGCUUUUAGAGGUUUUUGUUUUUAUCUGUGAAUUUAAAUUAUUUUAACCAUCAGAAAGCUAUUCGUGAGAAACAACUCUAGAGAUUUUUUCCACUGUACUUUUGCUUUCGAAAUUGAGACAAAAAUACCUUUUCAGGAUUUAAACAGCUUGGAGUGUCAUUUUUUGGUUAUAAUCUUUUGAAAUGUGCCAUUUAUGGAGUAUAACAGGCUAAUACCAAAAUAGGAGGAAAUUUUAAAGAGAAAAUAAAUCUUAUAUUGUUGAGAGUUGCCUUCUUUGACAACUUUGUUAGCCUGGAUUUCAUUGUCUUGGUUUUGCCGGUAUUUUGAAUCACAUGUAUCCAAAUCUGGUUCAGAAAGUUGUUUAAUUCUUGCCUAAUUAACAUGCUGUCACAAGGCUGAAGUAGGCAAAAGAAAUUACAUCUGCAAAAUAGUGGAGAUGUUUGAGGGAACUGAUGGCAUGCCGUAUUUCACUGCUCAGUGGUUUUACAGGGCCGAGGAUACUGUAAGGCUUGACAAUCAUUCCUUUAAAUAUCUGUAUUUUCAAUUUCCAUUUUCUGAAUUAUACUGCCACUUCCUGUGGUCAGAUCAUUACAGAAUGUCAUGAAUUUAUAGACGAAAAGCGAGUAUUCUUUUCUGAAGUCAAGAAUGACAAUCCUUUGGACUGUCUGGUUAAGAGACUUAGGAUCGCCCGGCUGCCGCCAAAUGUAUGCUGACUUACCUAAGAAACGUCUUUUCAACUUUGAGCUUCUGUAAACCUUUUUAACAGGACCGGCUGCUAUUUCAGAUGGAUUUGGAAUGCAAGGAUGCUGCAAAAUCAAAUUGUGACUAUUAUUAUGACAUGAUGUUCUUAGAGCCUCACUGCACGUUUAUCAGCUUGCCGCCUGGUAACUUUUUUCCUUUAUAUAUUGUCAGCAACAAAUUACUCUUUCUUUUUUCACAAACUUUAUAGUGUAAAGUUUUGGAUGAUAUUUAUAUUGUCCAGAGAAUAAUGGAGCUGGAAGUGACUCUGGCUCUACAAUAUCGAGUGAAGCUGAUGCUACUGGAGCAGUGGCUAGUGGUGUAGAGGUCUCCCAAGAAGCAAACCACUUGGAGAUGAGGCUACUGGACCUGUAUUCAGGCUGUGGGGCAAUGUCCACUGGACUUUGCCUGGGAGCUUAUAGCACUGGUGUUAAACUUGUUACCGUAAGGACAAUAAGUUUUCUUGAACUUCUUUCUAGUUGUUAUGUCGUUCUUUACCAUUAAAAUAACUUCUCAAUGCAGAAAUGGGCAGUUGAUGUAAACAAGUAUGCAUGUGAAAGUCUAAAAUGGAACCAUCCGGAGACUGAGGUGUAUAUUGCUCCAUAUGGUUUUGUAUCCAUUAUUUCUAUAUUUAUAACCUUGUUCAGGAUACAUUUUUCUUCUUGAUAAUUUCUUUUUGAUUAAGGUACGAAAUGAAUCUGCCGAGAACUUUUUGCUUUUGAUUAAGGAGUGGGAGAGGCUUUGUGUCUCCUAUGCAUUAGUAGAAAGCAAUGUUCUACCACAUCCGUAUGUUAGCUCGUCAAAUGAGCAAGUAGAUGAAGUUGGUGGAGAUGAUGAAGAUGACGAUGUUGAUGAUAGUGAUGGUAAUAGUUCUGAAGUUUUUGAUGUCAAAGAGGUAUUGGCUAUGUGCUAUGGGGAUCCAAAAGAGAGUGGUGCUGUUGGUCUUUACUGUAAGGUAUACUUGUUGGAUUAUCAGUGUACCUUUAUAUCUCUAUCUUGCCUUUUUAAACAUUUUCAAUUAGCUUUGGCUUGUAGUAAUGUCUCUAAAAUGCAAUUUAGAUUCGCUGGAAAGGUUAUGGACCAGAUGAUGAUACAUGGGAGCCUAUAGACGGUUUAAGGUAGGCAUUAAGUCUGGUUUGCUUAGUGAUUUCUUGAUGUUAUUUGUUUCCUUGAAACAAUCACUGACCUUCUAUACGUGUUUCUUAGUGAUUGUCAAGAGAAGGUGAAGGAAUUCGUCACUAAAGGUUACAAAAGAAAGAUUUUGCCUUUGCCUGUAAGUUCAAACAUCUUCCAAAGAGAUGUGAAGUAUACUGGACUACUGCAGAUUAUGUUAUCUAAUUUGUUGGUUUCUUGAUGUCUUGCAGGGAAAUGUCGAUGUUAUAUGUGGGGGCCCUCCUUGCCAAGGAAUAAGUGGGUUUAACCGAUUUCGGAAUACAGACCAACCAUUACAAGAUGAAAAAAAUAAGCAGCUUGCCGUCUUCAUGGAUAUUGUGGCUUUUCUAAAGCCUAGAUUUGUGUUGAUGGAAAAUGUUGUUGAUUUGAUUAAGUUUUCCAAAGGGUAUCUUGGGAGGUAUGCUUUUGCUCGGCUUCUUGCUAUGAACUAUCAAGCACGACUUGGAAUGAUGGCUGCUGGUGCUUAUGGUCUCCCACAGUUUAGAAUGCGUGUCUUUAUGUGGGGUGCUGUUCCUAAAGAGGUGAUACUCAGUUUUUCUUUUUCUUAUUUAUUUAUUCAGGUUUCAAGGCGUCUUUCUCUCUCAUUAGCAGUACUUACUCUUCUAUUAAUGCAGAAGUUGCCUCAGUACCCAUUGCCUACCCAUGAUGUCGUUGUGAGAGGGGUUGUUCCCAAGGAAUUUGAGGUAGGCUAUGGAUGGUAGAAAAAUAUUAUACAAUUUGAUUUUUGCUUCUUUAUUAGCCUAAAUCUUCUGUGUCAAUGUAGUCCAAUACUGUAGCUUAUGAAGAAGGUUCAAAAGUUGAAUUGGAGAAGGAGCUUUUUCUUGAAGAUGCUAUUUCUGAUCUUCCACCGGUAUAUAUUGCCAAUACUAAGCUUUUUUAAUUAAUGUAUGCCUCUAAUGUUCCUUAUAUGCUUAAAACUCUCUCUUGCAAACUUAACAUUUAGGUUGAAAAUGACGAGCCACGAGAUGAAAUGCCAUAUGGUGGUGCGUCCAAGACUGAAUUUCAAAACUUCAUCAGAUUGAGGAAAGAUGGUAAGUUCAUAUUUCUUUAUUUCUCCUUGAAGUACUUCUGGAUUUAUAAUUUUCAAUGCCUUAUUUUAAACUUGGAAUUCUUGCUUGUCUUGGUGAGCAUGGUAACGUGAUUCUAAUGGAUGCUAAAAAAUUUAUCCAACAUUUUUGAUCCAGAGCAAACAAUACACGUUUGCUGGUGCUUAAAAGUUUCCAGCUAUAUUUGUCAUUCAUUGUUUAUGUUGUGAAAAAAGUUGGUUUACCAACUAAGCAUCGAACUAUUUACAUUCUUAAAUCUGGAAUGUAAUACUUAAAUCCAUGAAACUAAAAGUACUUUGUUUUAUAGGUUUCCUUUUUCUAUGGCUUUUAGCUUGUCUUAAUUGAGCACAAUGGAUUACGUUCUGAUACAGGUUCUCUGCGUAGUUUGAGUUUGAAAAGUUAUUGAAUGUCGUCUUUCACAUUUUUUUCUUUCUGAUGCAGAAAUGCCAGGUAGUCUAGGCUUUGGAUUAGAAGUAGCUCCACAUUUGCUGUAUGACCAUAGGCCGCUCCAACUAAAUAGGGAUGAUUAUAGUCGGGUGUGUCAGAUUCCCAAGAAGAAGGUAUAUUUUAGUUCGUUAGUCUUUUUCAUUUUUAUGUUUUUUUUCCUGUCAAAGGACCUUCUCAUGUAUUUAUGCUUUUCAGGAGCUUUGUUAUGUAAAUUGUCAAUUGAAUACUACCUGCUUCUGAACUAUUUGUACCAUGGUUGCUAGGGUGCAAACUUUAGAGAUUUGCCUGGUGUAAGAGUCCGUGCUGAUAACAAGGUGGAAUGGGAUCCAGAUAUAGAGCGUGUCUAUCUGCCCUCAGGAAACCUUUGGUACGACUUCUUGAAUUCUAUAUUAUGCAGAUCAGCAUGUAUUUGUUUAUUUCUUCAUUGAUAAUCCUUACCCAGUGAGUUGCUUGUGCAGGUACCUGAUUAUGCUAUGACUUUUGUUGGUGGAUCUUCAUGCAAGUAAUCUUCAUUUCUCUCUAUGUUCUCAAAUUGCUUGUUUGAUGAAUUUUUUUGUUUUGGCUUUUCACACAACUAUUUUCAUGCCAUUUAGGCCUUUGGACGAUUGUGGUGGAAUGAGACAGUACCUACAGUUGUCACACGAGCAGAACCUCACAAUCAGGUACUGUUGUUGUCACUUUCUAAUUUAAUUGAAUAUUCUGGUUUGCUGUUUUAUACUUCACUGAAUGAAUCUUCUUUGGACUUUGUCAGACCAUAUUGCAUCCAAAGCAAGACAGAGUCCUUACAAUCCGAGAGAACGCGACUCCAAGGAUUUCCUGAUUAUUACAAACUUUUUGGCCCCAUUAAAGAGGUAAAAGCUGAGGAACAAUUAUGUUUCUGACAUAUUUAGGCAUUCUAUAGAGUACGCUAAUAUGAUCCUCAGGUUCUCUCAAUCCUUGUUACACCUCGAAUAAAACAAACUACUCUUGGCCUCAUACUUAGUCUUUUUCCAUUAGUUAGAAUUUGUAGAUAUAUGUUGAAACGAGGAAAAAAAAUUGCAGUAGCAGUGGGUUUGUCCUGUCAGAGUGAAAGAAAAUUAGACCCAAAAAGUUUUUCCCUUUCACCUGUUCUCAUAAUGACAGUGAGGAUUUAGGACAUGUUGCUGACGAAUAUGGCAAUGCAUGGGUUGUGUGAUAAAAUGGUGAAGAGGUUGUAGAACUCUUAAAAGCUUAAUUUUGAGAUGGAAGUGUUCAAUGUAUUGCAUCUAGAUUUCACUGUGAAAGUAAAAUAUCAACUCAACUAGACAGAGGCUUUUCAGUAUAUUUCACCUAGUUUCGCAAAAUCUGGGACCUUCUGCACUUCAGAUAAUCUGUGAGCCAAAUUCCAAAUGGCGUCUACUUAGUGUGCAGAGCACAAGUUACUCUUCUGGAACUGUUUCAGAAAGGCAGCUGGUUUUAGUUGUCUGUCAGCUUCUGUUUCUUCAUGAGUUUGGUCAUUGUCAAUAGGCCUGUGUUGCUCACAUGUUGAGAUGUUAUUUAUAUAGGCAAUUAGUUGCUGAUUUGCUUGACUGCAUCGUGAAAUUUGAUUUGCUUGACUGCAUCGUGAAAUUUGCUGAUUUGCUAUAUGUUGAAGAAAGCCAUGUUCAUUAUCCUGAAAUUUGAUUGGCUUAUUUGGUAAUCAACAAUAUUAUAAUACCUCCUAUGUGAACACGGAAUGGAUAUCUGUUUGCAAUUAUUAACACUCGAUGUUUAUGAUACUCCAGGUACAUUCAAGUUGGCAACGCAGUUGCUGUGCCAGUUGCUCGCGCUUUAGGAUUUUCUUUAGCUUUGGCUUUGAAGGGUUUGUCAGGCGACGAACCAGUACUGCAAUUACCAAAGAGCUUUCCAAAUAAUGUCGAGCUUCCUGCAGAAGUGUCUUCAUGAAGGAAGCCAAAUUUGUGUUUUUGUAACCCAUCCAACACAAAAUUACAUGCCAUUUAUUGGUCACAUUUAUUGUUAUUUGUCGGAAUUGUUCAUAAUUUGUAUCAUUUGAGUACCAUGUUACUAUUAUUUACUCCAUGAAACAGCAUGUGCUGAAAGUAGUACUGCUGAACUCUUGCUGAUCAACUGAUCCUCACACGUUGUGAUGUACGAGCUGAACGUGUUGAAAGAGAAGCAUUAUCGUGCGAAGCAAUGUUCUAGUUUCUAUAAUUUGAUCAUUGACAAGUGCGAAGACAGUCAUUCUGACUUGCCUUUCUUCAUAUAAUCUUAUUUUGAUGGAUGUGGUUGUAUUCGAGAAUGGAAGCAAAUUUGUUUAAAUUAUUUUGAUGGAUCUUUUAAUUUUGUAUCUUUAUUAAAUUUUAUGAUUUUUCAAUUUAAAUAUACUUGUGACAUGUUUAAUGUAUUUUAUGUCAUUAGUGCAAAUUAUUUUGUCAAGUAAAUCGUGCUGGACGAUUUCUAGUGAGAUGAUUAAUAAUAUUGUUAAUGUAUUAUCAAAAAAAAAAAAAAAAACUCAAGUCUUACCAAGCUACUCACUAUUAUUUGAUCGAAGGGUGAAGUGUCAAUAAGACAUGUUUCUAAGAUUUGUAGGGUUUUCUUAGAUUGACCAUUUUAAUUGAUUACAGAUUUUGAUUUUGAAUAAUCAACUUUUGUGAUAUUUUUUAUUACUUUUGUACAUUGAUUACAUAUUUUUUAAUGAUCAUUCGUUUGAAUUAUCUGUUUUUAAAAUAUUUACGAUAUACGAGAUUAUUUUUGAGGAUAUUUUUGAGAUUUUUAUGAUUGUUUUUGUUUGUAUAUUAUUGUAACAUAUAUAUAUGAAAAUUUAGUGACCAAUCCAAACGCAGAUUGUAACAGAUUACUCAAAGAAUAACCUUUGCUGAUUCUAAUUAUUCUUUAUAACAAUUUCUAUAAUCAAAUUUAUAUAAAGCAACCGAGAACAAGGUCGUAGUGGAGUUCAAGUGAAUUUAGUGACUUUGAAAUUGCAAUCUGGUAUUUGAAAGACACUCGUGAUGAUCUUUUGAAGAUUGAUCAUGGUUACCAACCCACCGUUAUUCCUUUCCCUCCUACAAAACUUUGAAGAAACACAAAAAUUCUACCCAGAAAUAAGCAAAUGAAAAACAGAAAGGUCAGCUACAAUAUGAGAUCACCAAAUACUAAAACUGUGAAACACUUGCCCUUUUUGUUUGGAUUAAAAUAUACUGAUGUGAAUUCAGAUCCACAUGAUAGUACUAAAGAAAAUAUGUGAAGUACCUCAUUUAGCAGCAAGAAGUUCAACAACAGGAUUUGCUAUUCAAAUCACCAACUGUUGCAUCAACUACAAAUACAUCUGAAUUAGUUUUAGGAAGCAAAUUUUUGGGAUUUUUUCAAUUUGUCGAUUGGAAAAGGGGCAACCGAAGAACAGCUUCCUCAGUCUCAAUAGGGUCCGAUCUCAAUAUCUGCAAAGAACCGGGUAAAAAAGAAAACCUGAAAUCAGUUUGAACGGUUCAAAUAAGAAGGAAAAAGAAAAGAAUCAAAAUUGACUUACUGGGUCUUUGAGAAUUGGCUUAGUGUCAUCGAGAGCAGGUCUAAAUUGGGUUUUUUCUGUCCUUCGUUUCAGUUCCGCCAUUGUUGCUCUUGCUCGAAGCCUCUGCUGCUGCUGCUUUCUUCAUUCUUUUCAGUUCUAGCUAAGUGGUGGGUUUAACUGGUAGGCGUUGGGCGUCCUUUCUAGUAUUAUGUAUAAGCGUGGCUUUUGUCUAGCUAGGUUGAGGGGAUCCAGUAUACAGAAAAGGGAAAGAAAAAAGAAGAAGAAGAACCUAAUAUAUAAUCAUUUGUCCUGAGUCCUGACUUACAAAAAAUAACCCUUUUCUUCUAACCCUCCCACUAUAGACACCCAGGCAUGUUAAUGGAUUGGUUUUUAUCCAAAUUUAAUUCAAAUCCAAUGUAUUUGGGUAGGGUUUGGAUUUAAUUUAUCAAAACCCUACUUAGACCUAAACCCUAUAAAAGAGUUAUGUAUUUGGAUAGAAUUUGAUUUUUUAUGAUUUAUAUCCAAAUCCAAACCCAUAACAGGCUUUACCAAACCCAUUAUAUAUAGUUAAAUAUAUAUAUUAGUAAAUUUAUAAAAUAUUCUAAUAUUCUAUGGUCAUUGGAUCGAAUACAGUAAGAUUUAAUGAAUUUUUUUUUUCAAGUUAAUCCUAGUUAUUUUUAAUUAGUACAAAUUUCAGAAAAAAGAAGAAAAAGUAAAUGCCAAAUAAAUGAAAGAUUGACGUAGAUACAGUUGAAGUUUUAAAAAUAAGUCGAAACUGUCGAUAAUAGUCACUUUUUGAGUUUAUAAUAUUGCAUUCAACUUCUUGAAUAUUAAUUUUAUUAUUUAAAAUAAAAAUUGGAUGAUGUUUAUAUUUUUGAAAUCUGCAUAUUUUUAAUAUAUUUUUACUUUAGUGUAUUAGAAAAUAUAUCGGUACCCAUUGAUACUCAAAUCUAGAAGGAUUGGAUUUGAAUUUUUUCAGGCCCAUAAGGCUUUGGGUCUGAAUUUAGGUCACUAAUUUAAUAAAUCUGGAUCUAAAUCAAAAGGAUCUAACCUAAACCUUACCCAUUGUAAUAUCUAGACACCUCUAGUAGAGCAUCCAAUGAAUGCCCAACAUUUGUUGUGUGAUUUUCAGUGGUAGCAUGGUUUUGCAUUUGAAAUUGCAUCCAUUCAACUCUCCUACCAUAAAUUCAGGCAUCUAUCUAAUUUGAAUUGUAAUAAGUUCAUUUGGAUAUCCACAUAGUUGAAUUAUUUUCCCCAUAAAAUGCAGCUCUCAAAGAUGAUCUUUUGAAAUUUGAAUUUUUGAAAUUUAUAUGAGAAUUUGCAAGAGAGACUGUGUUGAAAAAUUCAAUUCAAGAACCAUACUUUCUGGUGCUAAUCUGGGCAUGGUUUCAAUACUGCCAUUAUCCUAUGUUACUUGUUGACUAGUUGGAACAAAAGAUCCCGUAGAAUUUAGGUAGCUUUUUUCCCCCAACAGGUUGGUAGUUAAUUGUAUAAUAAAAUUUAUGUGUAGGUUGAUCCCUCUCACACAAGCUAGAUAUUGAAGAUUAAGAAAUUGUUUGUGGCUCCUGUAUAUAUGUUCCACAAAAAGAAGUUCAAACUGAAACAGUAAGCAUAGUGAACCUUUUGAGGCUAUGUCUUCAAGGGCUCAAUAUGAAGUCUGACAGUUGACCUGUCUGAUGAUCUCAUAGCUCUUAAAUGACUCUGCAAAUCUGCAUCUCUGGAUAGACAAAUCCAAUUGUUAUUGACAUCUUGAUACUUGAUCUCAUAACUUUCACCACUCAGGUUGAGCCGUUUCUUUAUCGCAUCUCUGAGUUGCAUCAGUCCUGAUGAAAGAGAGAGCUGAAACUUUAUCAUGACUUCUUUGUAUGUUGCCUUUAUUGUCAUGAGGCUUUCAUUUUGCAUUGUCAUAGCUUGUGGCAUAGGAGGUGAAGCAGAAGUAGCAACUUCCUCAGGAAUCUGAUUGGUGCAUGGCUCAACAGCAAGUCUGAUUGUUGGGUUUUCCUGUGGUUUCAUGAUAGUCACACAAUUAUGCAAAUCAUUGUCGCUGGUCAAUGGAAUCCAUUCAUUGGGUUCAGCUAGACACUUGAUGUCAAAGCUGUCACCGCUUAACUUGAACUGCUUCAUGACUUCGUUUUUCAGUUCCAUCAAUUUUGAAGAAAGGGAAACCUGAAGCUCUACAGUCUCCUCUUUAUAUGUUGCCUUUAUGGUCAUGAUCCUCUCAUUCUGCACUGGAUUUAUCUGCAGCAUAGGCUCCCAACAGAAUCCCUGGAACUUUCAAGGUGUUGAUUCUGAGUAGGCUCAAGAAGAACUUUGAUUGUAUUCUUCCUUUGUGACACCAUAUCAAACAUCAACUUCUGCAAGUCCACAUCAUUGGAUACUAAAAUGUAGUUAUUAUCUUCCUUUUGAUACUUGAUCUCAAAACUUCCAGUUGUCAAAUUUAACCUCUUUGUCACUUCUUUCUCAAAAUCCAUUAUCCCUGAAGAGAGAGAGAGUGGAAACUUAAUCAUGUCUUCCUUAAAUGAUGCCUUUAUCAUAAUUGUGCCUUCAUUUUCUGGUGCUGGUGGUGCCUUUAUACUCUCAUUGUGCACUGGAUUUAUCUGCAGCAUAGGGCUACCAACAGAACCCCUGGAACUUUCAAGGUGUUGAUUCUGAGUAGGCUCAAGAAGAACUUUGAUUGUAUUCUUCCUUUGUGACAUCAUAUCAAACAUCAACUUCUGCAAGUCCACAUCAUUGGAUACUAAAAUGCAGUUAUUAUCUUCCUUUUGAUACUUGAUCUCAAAACUUCCAGUUGUCAAAUUUAACCUCUUUGUCACUUCUUUCUCAAAAUCCAUUAUCCCUGAUGAGAGAGAGAGUGGAAACUUAAUCAUGUCUUCCUAAAUGCUGCCUUUAUCAUAAUUGUCCUUCAUUUUCUGGUGCCGGUGGUGCCUUUAUACUCUCAUUCUGCACUGGAUUUAUCUGCAGCAUAGGGCUCCCAACAGAAUCCCUGGAACUUCCAAGGUGUUGAUUCUGAGUAGGCUCAAGAAGAACUUUGAUUGUAUUCUUCCUUUGUGACAUCAUAUCAAACAUCAACUUCUGCAAGUCCACAUCAUUGGAUACUAAAAUGUAGUUAUUAUCUUCAUUUUGAUACUUGAUCUCAAAACUUCCAGUUGUCAAAUUUAACCUCUUUGUCACUUCUUUCUCAAAAUCCAUUAUCCCUGAUGAGAGAGAGAGUGGAACUUAAUCAUGUCUUCCUUAAAUGAUGCCUUUAUCAUAAUUGUGCCUUCUUCUGGUGCUGGUGGUGCCUUUAUACUCUCGUUCUGCACUGGAUUUAUCUGCAGCAUAGGGCUACCAACAGAACCCCUGGAAAUUUCAAGGUGUUGAUUCUCAGUAGGCUCAAGAAGAACUUUGACUGUAUUCUUCCUUUUUGACAUCAUAUCAAACAUCAACUUCUGCAAGUCCACAUCAUUGGAUACUAAAAUGUAGUUAUUAUCUUCAUUUUGAUACUUGAUCAAAAAACUUCCAGUUGUCAAAUUUAACCUCUUUGUCACUUCUUUCUCAAAAUCCAUCAUCCCUGAUGAGAGAGAGAGUGGAAACUUAAUCAUGCCUUCCUUAAAUGCUGCCUUUAUCAUAAUUGUGCCUUCAUUUUCUGGUGCUGGUGCUGCAGGGUGAGAAACAGAAGUAGUGCCUUCGUCAGGAGGUAAAUCAGAACGUGCUUGGUCUCUAUUACGUGUUCUCUUAUUGUGGUUUUCAGAUCCUCUUGCAUCUUCGUGAGAAAGGGAAUGAUCAGCUUUUCUCUUGUUGGUCUGUCUAUCUAUGCUACGCUCUCUGCAUAACUGCUUUUCUUCAUGUAUGACAACUGUAAAAAUGAGAAUUUGAAUCAAGAUUAAUACCAGGUGAUCUUGUCAGCCAUAUAAGCAAAUGAACAAUGCAGUCAUACUGAAAGCUAGGUUCAAAUUCAAGAUAGCAAACUCACUAUCAGACAUACACUCAGCAUCUUCAAGUUGCCUUCUUGACUGGUUUCUGGGAACCUUCACUCCUGGUGCCUUUACCAUGUCUUCAUUAUUUUGAAGAACAGGAAGAUUGUCCUGUGUUCGUACAUUCUCACAGUUGUUAUGUGAGAAUCUAAGCAAAGGUUGAGAUCCGGUUGUUGCACACAUUUCCAAAGAUUCAUCCAGUCUAUCAAGUUUAAUUAUGUUCAAAGGUGUAUCCGCCCCUGAUUCUUGUACAGAUGCAACCUUGAAACUCUGAAAGUUCUGCUGUACUGCAGCUAAAAAAGCUUUCAAGAGGGUCUGUGGUUUCCCAUAAGAAGGUUGGUACGGGCACAGAAAAAACUCUAGCACAUAAACUUCAUUUCCUGUGGAUCUACUUUGCAGACAGACAGCAAAAGAGCCAGUUAAGUUAACUUUGCGUGCACUAAGUACUAGGGGGUACUCAUCAAUACUUAACUGCUUCACAUCUUUGCAGAAGCAUGAAGCACCAGAUGUAAAUGCACUCCAUACAACACUCUGUCCUUUCUUUAAGCCAAACUGAAUGCAAUCCUUUUGGAAGGAGGAAACCUUCUUGACUGACAUAACUGAUCCCCUUUCACUUGUGCACAUGACACUUUCAUUAUGGUUCUCUCCAGUGCUUGUGAACCAGGUCUGAGCAAAACGUAUACAGUGUGCAUGACAGAAUGCAUUCAAACCGUUCUCAAUUUGACUGAGGUCAAAUUCAUGCUGAGAAAUCUGCUUUGGACAUUAUCAGUAAGAAAAGGAAUCAUACAGUACGAAAAGCGAGUCAGCAAUAAAAUAACUUAACUGAUACAUGUGAAAAAAAUGUGGCUAGAUACAGUCACCACUUACUCUAUCCUUGUGAAGUGACAAAUGUGCAUCACAAAUCCUCAGUCCUACGGCCUGCAGGAAAGAAUAUAACUAUCACUAUACAUUUUUGAGAUCAUCAUAGUGAAAUGAUUUCAGAAAUUGGAAUGAAAUUUUCUAUUAAGACUUGUAGCAUGCAAUGCAGGUAAACAUGACAGCUUUAUGACCGGAUUCGACUAUACAAGAACCCAACAAGAACAAAAGAAGUCCUGAAAUUAUACGAACAUCGCUUACAUCAGUACUAACACAGAAUCCUAUCUGAUGGAUGUGAAGCUGAAACCCCUUUGCUAUUUAAGGGGGAUCUUCACUAAAGGGGGAUCUUCACAGGAUCAUCAUGCCAGCUAUACAGCAUGGUAAUUGAAACAUAAACAAGUCAAAUAGAAAGUUCUUGUCCUUCACAUGAAAAUUUUUCCAACGCCAUGAGUUACAGCUCAGACUUCAUGGGACCAAACGUUGAAAAGGUUUCCACAUCAUAGAUCAUAGCUUAGACAUGAAUGAGUAAUUGUUCUAGUGCGAAAGCAAGAAUUCAUAAUAACUUUCACUAUCAUAGAGUUCAGCAGAAGCUAUGCCACUUCAAAUAUCCUCCACUUCAAGCCAGAGAUGUCAAUUAUGCAUAAAAUAGAUAGCUUCAGCUCAGAAAAACUCCAAUUAUUUGAAGACAGCUGACAUUUCAGGAAAUGUGUUAGCCAAGUUCUACAGCUAAUGUAUCUGAAAAUGACUCUGUAGCACAAGAAGCACAGAUUACUUCAACUGACAGAACUUUUGCAAUCUUUUUGGCUUCCUGAUUUCAUCCAGCGAUAUGAGAAUCUUGCUAAGACAAUUUUUUAGGGCAUGAAAGUAAUGGAAUUUGAUGCCAACCUUUGUAAAAGCUCAAUUAGCUGAUUCUUUUGAAUAAACAUAUCAUUUGCUGGCAGAGAACAAAAGAAGAAAUGAUCUUCGCGUCACUUCCAAUUUCUAAAGAACAAGGAGUUACAAAACAGAAAAAGCUCAAAAGAGAAGCUUGUUCCCCUUGCAUCCAAGACCAAAGCAUUUACAACAAGAAAAAUUAGCAGGUUUUUUGGGCAAAAUUUACAAUAGAAGCACAAUUUCCAUAUGGAGAGGCGAAUUAAACAUGCUAGUACUUUAUCCUUGGUGAAUAAUGGGUUGAGUUAGAAAUCGAACCUUGAAAGCAUCAUCAAUAACUUUUCCAAUUGCAUCAGUAAAGUAAUAAUUCCCAUCCCACGAAGUAAUCAGCUCAAGCACACCGACACAUUGAUCCCUAACUGACUCAAAAACUGGCAAAGCCAGGUAUCCAUUUACACCACAUCUAACAGCAGCAUCCCUCAGUUUAAACUCUUUAGAUGAGUAACAAGACACAUAUGGACUAAAUUCUGAAACCCCAUUUCUAAAAACCCGUCCAACAGGGCCAAGCUCUUCUUGACAAUCAAGAUCAUAUCUGUGUUCCAAACAACGCUUCCUAUACAAACAGAGUCCUUCGGUGAGCAGACUAAUACCAAAAGGAAGAUCUGAAGUCACAAGAAGCUGUUGGGUGCCUAUUGUUUUGGGCAUCCACAGUUGCACUAAAGUGGGAAGAGAAAAACACCCAAACCCUCAAGUGCAGAUUUGAUCUUUUCUUUGAUUGCCGCAAUCCCUUUGUUGUUGUUGAAUUGAAUAGAUUCAUCUUGGCUACAGAAGAUCAUAAGAUGGGAGAUGGACUUCUGGUCUGAUACAGAAAGUUGACUUGGCAUGAGACUGAUGAACUCAGAAACUGAAUAUCUUCCUCUAAGAUCAUCAACAUGGAUGAGUAAAGACUGGUUUUUUUCCAUCUUUGAUACUAUCUGGGAUUGCAUUUCCUAGCUUCAAGAAUUGUUCUUCAAAGCCCCUCUUUUAGCCAAUUCAAAGACUCGAAUAAGGGUUGUUGGCUAUGCAAUAAUCCAUAGAAGAAGGAUUCCAAAAGAGGUUCAAGAGCUCAUCCAUCUUGUAGCUUCUGCCUUCUGUGUAUAUGCAUCGUCGAAUGCAAAGAGUUCAGAUUUCAGAAUGGUUCAGGAGGUCAAAGUUCAGAAAGACAAAAGCAGACAAUGACCCCACGAGUCUAUGACAAUGACUGGUUUGUGGCCUACAUUUUCCCAAGGUGCAAACGACAAAUCCAUAUCACCAAACUCUAGUCACUGCGAGCUGUGGAAUACUGGAAGUGGAAAAAGUCUGAAAUAGGUCACAGUUCCACAACUUUUCGAAAGAAAAUCUGACACGUCCUGCGCUGGAUAAAGUAUACGCCUCCAUCCCCAAAAUUUUGCUUAAAAGAAUUUUCACGCGAUUCAAUUCAGUACGAGAAGAAUCAAACGCUCGGCCUCUUUUGAGAGCCUUCAGAAUUUCUUAUUAGGGAUAAUUUCAGAAAAGCUUAUGUGAAAUUUAAAAAAUUACACAUUCCUCCUUUAUUAUUUAAAAUAAUAAUAUUAUUUUUAAAUAUUUUAAUAAAAUUCUCUUGUUUGAUAUAUUUAUAUUUAGAAUGCCUUUAAAAUUAUUUUUUUUCAUUCUUUUUCCUUUUUAUUUUAAUUUUUGUCAAUAAAAUUGUAAAAUUAUCAUUAUUAUCUCUGAUUUCUAUUGUAACAAAUGUCGAACUAAUGAUUUUUUUGAUGAGUUAACUUUAUAUAUAAUCCAAUGUUUUUUGCUAAUAUUUGAUUUCUAUUUUUUAGUAUUAAAAUUAAUAAUAAAUCAACAAGAAAUUGCCCAAAAUUAUUACUAAAUUAUGAUAAUUUCACUGCUCAAAAAAUUCAUAAACUCUAAAUCAAUUAUUUCAACAUUUAUUGUCUAUCUUAUAAAUCUAAAUCUAUAAUAAAAUACCAUCAAAAGUAUCCUAUCAUAGUGAUAAAUUUAUUAUUGCAGUUGUUUAUCAAAUAAUAGAUAUGGAGAUGAAAAAUUCGGCACAUUUUUCUUAUAAUUACAUUAGAUAAUCUUAUAAUUUUAUAAGAAAGUAAAUUAAAACUCAUUACACAAGGCAUUUUGGGUAUUCAUUAAAAAUUUGACCAAGUCAAUAUUAUUUUAAGAUUUUGUUACUAAAAUUAUCAAAUCAAGAGAGGUAUAUAUAAUUUUUCAAAUCUUAGGAGAGUUUAGUGAAAUUGUUAGAAACCUCAGGGAAUGUUUCUGGAAUUAUCCCUUCUUAUUAUUAUACUUAUGUUUAGUGCUUCUAAUUAAGGGCUUAAAUUAAUCAUACUAAAUGAUUUGGAUUCACAAGUAGUUUGGUUAAGGGCUUGAUUCGAACUCAAUAUCGAUCGAGUUGCCGAGUUUAAGUCAAAUUCGAGCUACUUGAUAAAGUAAUCAAGUUGAGUUUUAAUUAGGGGUACAAAUUAACCAUGCUACUUGAUUCAGACUCGCGAGUACUUUGGUUAAAGAUUCAAGUCGAACUUGGCAUCGAUUGAGUUGCCAAGUUCGAGUUGAGUUUGAACUACUUGAUAAGGUAAUCGAGUCGAUUUCGGGUGAAAAAAAAAUCAAAAUUCGAGUAUUUGUCAAGCGUCUCGAGUAGUGUAUUUACAAUAUAGUUUUUAAUUAUUUAUUUUAAAAUUAUGAAAUUUACUAAAAACUGAUCUUAAAAACUCAAUUGAACUUGAUUGAGUUCAAUUAAACUUGAUUUGGUCGAGUUCAAACUCAAUUUUAAAGCACUCAACAAUUUUAAAUUCGAGUUCAAGUAUUUUUAUUAGUAGAACUCGAAUGACUCGAUACUUGACUCGACUCGAUGACAGUCUUACUUCAGACCCGAUCGUUGGCUACUGGCAUCGAUUUUGCCAAGCAUAUGAAGUUUCACACAAAAUAGUGAUCACAGAUUACACCAAAUUCAGGCUCCAAUUCGUUAAAUUUACAUGUCAUGUCAUGUGUCCCCUUCUGACAGAGUAUGCGGUAAUUUGGAAACCGCAGGGACAAAUGCCACAUGUUUACUGCAUAGUAUAAUGAUAUCCAAAAUCAGUCAAAAUUGGUCCUCAUCAAGAACGGCAAAAGAAAAACAAAAUCGGUGUAAAGUCUGAUGAUUUCCCGCCAGAUUGAGACCCUGUUACAACGGUCAAAAACCACUAGUCAUCUUCUUCAACUGCAAUCUCUCAGCAUCAAAACAGCUCUAGAUCAUCAAGAACACUUCCUUUCUAGACUUAUACUUGCAUCGUCUUUAAUAUCACUGCAAAUUUCAAGAGAAAUCUUUGACAAAUCACCGAUUACACCAUCACGUUUUUCUCGGAAUACACUGAUUCAAGGGUAUUCAAAGAGCUCAAUACCAUUAGAGUCGGUAAAAAUGUUCGUUGAUCUUCAAAGAAGUGGGAUAAAACCCGACAACUAUACAUACCCUUUUGUGCUCAAAGCUUGCGGGCGUUGUUCAAUUGGUUGGAGUAGGUGGGACUCUGCAUUCAAUGGUGUUGAAGAUGGUUUUGAUUGGGAUUUACAUAUAUGCAAUACACUGCUCAGAAUGUAUGGAGGGCUUCAUCUGAUUGCGUAUUCGAGCAAGUGUUUGACGAUAUGUCUCAAAGAGAUGUGGUUUCUUGGAGUUCUAUGAUUGCUGCUUAUGUUAAUUGGUACGUUCUAUCCUUAAUCAGUUACCGAAGUAAUGCUAAUUCUUUUGUUUUAUUUCCUUCUUACUUGUCUCAGCAAUUAGGGGUUCGUAAUUUAUCUUCGAAACACCUAACUUCCUUUGCAAUGAGUCGUAGUGGGGUUGUUCAUGGUAGAAAGCCCAACUACGGAGUGUACUUUGUUUAGAGAAGGGAAGGAGAAAAUCAGUUGGAGUAUGGGAGUCAGACUUCUUAGUCGACUCCUAUGUUUUUGGACGUCCAUUAAUAUUAUUAAUAUUUUUUUGGCUUCCAGCAACAAAGGCUAUUAUAAUGCAUAAGUAUCAUGCUGCACAAAUUCCAUUGAAAGAUAAUGACUUGUGCAUAGAUCGUAUAUAAUCCAAUUGAUCUUGUGGUACUUUGCUUAUGCUCUUCAUUUUUCUUUUGCUUUUACUUUCUGCUAAUUCUGGCCAGGGGAUAUGGUUUAACUCCCUAAACAACUUGUUCAAGCUCUAUUAGUCACAACAUGCUUUAAUCACAGAGUCAUAUACAACUUAUUGCAUUUUAAUUACUGGACUCCCGAAAACAUUAUAUUAUAAUAUUUAAUUAUCAAGAAUUAAGAUGAAGGUUUUGGUAUAUGGUAGCAAAAGGCAAUAAAAAUUAAUCUACUUUUCCAAAAUGAAUGAGUCUCAAUCUUGUUAACUGCAGCAUAUUCUUAAUGUUUAUAAUAUAAGGUGCCUAAAAUUUAUACUCUUUAUGGGCACUGCUUCUUCAAUUCAUUAGCUACUAUUUUCUAGGUUUUAGGUGCCUUAUAGCUUGUAUGGAUGUAGAUACGAUCACUGUAAAAAAAUUUCUUCCGCACUGUUUACAGCUGACCUUGUUUACAAGUUAGCUUGAUCGAUUAAGUGCUAGACACCCUUGAGAACUUGUUAUAUGGGGACUUAUGGCCGUCGUCUUGUGAAAUUGUGCUGAUUGUUGCGUCUCAAAAUGAAAAUUGAAGUAGUGGAAUGGUAUCUGAUGAUUUUAUUGUCGGCUAAGGGGAUUAUCUUUUACUUCCUUUGUAUUCUUUAGCAUGUAGUUAAGGCUCUCUGUUUCCAAUAUUUUAACAUUUUAUAGUCUUGAAGUUUUUGUUUGACCUAUAACUUGACUUUGAAUGAUUACAGUAACUGUCCUGUAAAUGCUUUAACUGUUUUCCAAGACAUGAUCAUACAACAUGAGAAGCCAAACUCCAUCACUUUGGUUAGCCUGCUUGCUGCAUGUACUCGUCUCCUCAAUGUCAAGCUUGGAGAAUCCAUUCAUUCCCGCAUUCUAACUAACGUGUUGGAUUGAAUGUUGAACUGGGAACUGCUCUUCUUGAGAUGUAUGCAAAAUGUGGUCACAUGCUGGAAGCGUUCCUUAUUUUUGAUUCAAUAAGUGAUAAAAAUUUGCAGUCUUGGACUGUCAUGAUUUCUAGCCUUGCAGAUAAUGGCUUUGGGGAAGAAGCUAUGUCAUUGUUUUCAAAAAUGCAAGAAGCUGGCCUGCAGCCUGAUAGUAAGUCAUUUUCUGCAGUUCUUUCUGCAUGUAGUCACAUGGGUCUUGUUGAUGAGGGAAAAGAUUAUUUUGAUAAAAUGGUAAAGGUUCAUAAUAUCAGGCCAACCAUGGAACAUUAUGGUUGCUUGGUGGACAUGUUUGGUCGUGCUGGAAAGAUUGAAGAAGCUUAUCAGGUUAUAAAGAGCAUGCCCAUGGAACCUAAUUCUAUUGUAUUGAGGAGCUUCAUCAGUUCAUGCAGAUAUCAUGGCCGUAUUGUUUGUGAAGAAAAAAUCUGAAGCAACUUCUUAAAAUAGAGCCUGAUGUUGGAGCAAAUUACGUGCUUGCUGGGAGUAUGUGCUCUCUUUCUGGCUAUUGGAGUGACACUAAUGACCUUAGAGUUUCCAUGAAAGAAAAAGGUUUAAAGAAGGUUCCGGGAGCAGUUGGGUGCAGCUGUCUAGUGCCUAAUCCCAGAAAACUGAUAAAAAGGCCAUAAGUUCCUGUUCUGGUUCAGAUGGCUUGAGACUUGCAUUCUGGAGAGCUGAUGAACAAUUUGCUAGUUCAAAAGGCCAUUAGUUUUCUUGGUAAUAAUGAUGUUAAGAGGAAGCCCUUUGCUUCUGCAAUCAAAUGAUCUUUGUUUGCUGGUAGGAUUCUUGGAGUCUAAACUAAUUUUGGAAGAGAUGACACAUGGUUUGAGUUGCAAAGCUUUUAUGACAUGAAUACCUUCAUGCAGGAAUGCUUCUGUGCAAUUUGAGGUUGUUUCGGUUGUGGUUGGUGUAGUAUGGAAUACCUAUUUGUAAGAUACACAGAAGUUUAGAGUCUUGCUAGCAAUUGAUUACAUGGUCUCUUGAUUCUUCUAUCACAGUGGGUUUCAUUAGAGCACCGAAUUAUGCAGAAGUUUUGCUGCUGAAGUUAAAUGGCUUGAAAAUGGGACUUUCAUUAAUUGUUACGUGCAUAAAAUUGCUCAGUAUCCAAUUGCUGAACCAAUUCAGUUGUAACAGACUGCAAAGGAAUCAUGUCUGUAAUUUCAUGUGAAACAAUUACAACAGACAAGAAACCAUGGGUUUCCGCCUGAGCACGGAAGAAAAGUGAAAGAUUCUCUAUCUCCAUGCAAAAUGUGAGAUGAUAUUUUCCUUUAGGGCCAAAUUUCAGUAGUACAAGCUUCAGCUUUGUUUGGCAGUGGCGUGCAGUUAGUUGUUUAUGCCUAUUGCUACCUUGUCUUCUGCUCUCUACUGCAUAAGAGUUUUUCAGAAUUAGUUUUUAAUGGUAUGGGCCAUUUAUCUCUUGCCUUUUGGUUUCCUUAUGGAUGCAUUUGUGCUCUAGACAUACUUAUGCGUAAUGCAAUGCUAUGUUCAUCUGGAAGUCAUUUCCUUGAUUUGAAAAUCAUAAAAGAAGCAUUUAUGUGGUCCAAGUUCUCGGGACCAGUGUUCUUCUUAAGUUAUAGUGUUCAAUCAGUUUAAUUUUCUUCUGACGUUUGGCAAAUUGGAUUGGUGGGCAGUGGCAGAUGAAGUGAAAGUUGCAGCAGGCAACGAUAUCAUGCUGAAAGCUGCAUGCUAGCACGAGUAUAUGAAUCGUGAAGAUGAUUAAAGAACAAUGAGAUUAUUUGUUAGAAAAUGCUCUCAAUUCCAGAGGAUCCAAUACUAAGAGAAGUAUUGCUCCCUUUAUCACAACAUUAAUGUACUCUAUUUAGCUUUAUUCAUGUGAUUUAGGCAUUUGCAACCAUGAUAAGAAGGAUGAUAAUGAGAAGGAUGAUAAGCAUGGCCUUGUUUGUACUUUGUGUAGAUAGCUAAUUGUCUGUUCAUGACUGCUGUCUUCUAAAGGAUGCUGACCAACGGACCUGACUUUUGUAGGUUAAGGAAGAGGAAAUGCCUUUGUUUGGAAAUCACAUAAGUACUUUCAGGUUGCAGAGCUCUAUUCAUUCUAUCUUGCAGUUCUGGCUUUCCUGGUUUUUUUCUAGGUCAUAUAAUUGUUGUAUGUUAGCAUCAAUUACGGAGGCUACGCUCUAGCAAUCCAGAGAAUACAUAAUUUAUGCAUGCCAGGGUGAAUUAGCAAACUGAGUUUGUUCUUCCUGCUGGUUCUCUAAGGUUAUGAACCUUUUUUUUCAGGAUUUUGCUAGAGCAGUAAACAGUUUAAGUCACAACUAAAAUAUCUAGAGAUGAAAUAUUGUGGCUUUCAUGAGAUGCUCAUCUGACCUAUUGCUGACAAUUGUGGAGAAGUCCUGAUGUCUAAUCAAGCUGACCUCUGUAAUGGCAUCCCUGAUGAAUGUACACGUCCGGUGAAAUGUGGAAAUACAAUUUUUUUUUGGGGUUUUGAUGCCAUAUGAUGUUAGUAACUUUUCAUUUUGGUAUAAGAACUGCUUUCUUUCUCUGAAUUAGUUUGGCAGCUGAUGCUCACGUUCUGAGUGUACAAACUUAUACUGCAAUUUGGAACCUCUCUUUCUGACCGUCACUUCUGUAGAUUGAACAUCCCUUUGAAUGUGUUUUGACAGCUGACAGUCUACACAAACCUUAAUUGCUUGCUUUAUUUUAUCAAGCUCAAACUUGAACUCAAGCUCGACGAGCUGCUAAUUUAAAGCUUGAGCUCGAAUUCGAAAAAUUAAAAAAUAAUUAUUUUAAUUUUUAAAAAUAAAUAAAAUAAUAUUUUUAAUAAUAAUAAAAUAUUAGGAUAUAUAUGUAAUUUUAUUAUUAAAAUAAAAAAAAUAUAUAUACUCGAAUCGCGAGCUAACAAGUUUAAUAUUUUUGAACUUGAGCUUGAGUUCAAGUUCGAUUUGCCCAGCUCAAUCUUGACUCGAAUUAUUCUGAACAGCUCGAUUCAAGUUCGAUUUGCCCAGCUCAAUCUCGAUUCAAAUUAUUCUGAGCAGCUCGAUUCGUUUGUGAUUCUUAACUACUUUGUCCAAGAAUGGUUCCAACGAAAAUCACAUGCAUGAAACCUGUGUUAUAGUCAGCGAGUUCAGUAUUAUUUUCCAGAGGACAAAAGAACAGACAAAAAUGGUCCCUUUUGUACCCCAAUUUUUUUUGUUUGAUGCCAAUAUUAACUGAUCUAGUGGCAACCACAAUGGUGGAAUCUUUAUAAGUUGAAGUUAGACGCUCAAUGGUUCCAAAGUGUUCAGGCUUAAUGCUGAAAUUUCCUUUUUGAUUCCUUUUUAUUUAACAAUAUUGGUUUAAACCUGAAAGCAAGAUUCUAUUUGCUUAAAAGCAGUUUUAGGAAACACAACACAAUUAACAGGAGGAGAUAAACCACAUUUCAAGUUCUUUCCCCACUCUUCUUCAAAUUUGGACUCCAGCUUCUUUCCCUCCAUACUUCGAAACGGUUGCUCAUGUUUGCGCAAGGGUCCAUGACUCUUCUUUUUAUCAUUUCCUAUUGGAUUUCCUUCUACAUUUGUUAUUUCGGGUGCGUUUAAUAAAAUUGAAAUCUGAAUUUUGAAUUCUAAAACUUGAAACCUAAUAUCUAGAUCUAUUAAAUUAGUAAAAUUGUUAAAAACUGAAAUCUUAAUAUUGAACAUAUUUUGCAUUAAGCGAUAAGUGAAUCGUUUAUGAUUUAGUUUUGAGUAAGUUUCACAUAAGUUCAUUUAGAAUCAUUUAAUUAAUUAAAAUGUUCUAUUUUUUUGUUAUCAAAUACACUUAAUGUCUGAACGUAUUUAAAUGUUGAGUUGAAUUAUUAAACAGGUCUUAAUUGCUCUAAUCUAAUCAUUUAAUAGGCUAAUAGUUUAAUUAAUUUUCCAAAUUAACCAAAAAUAUUUUUGACUGCAAUAGGGAACUAGGAAAAUGUAUUGAAACUUAUUGAGAAUGCCCCAUGUGCUUGCUUUAGUACUGUUACUUUAUAUGUUACCCUACACUGAAGCUUCUGGUUCAUCAUUUGUCUGUCUCAUUGUUGGUGAAGAUUGUGCUCCAAUUCCCAAUGAUCUUUAGAGAUCAAAGUCCAUCUUAACCAUACAGAGUAGUUAAUUAAUCAUGUUGAUCUUUUCUUUUCUUGGAUAAUUAGUUCAUUAAUCAUUUUCAUAUUGGCAAAGUGCAUUUGUUUUAGAAAACGAGACGCAAAAAUCAUCCUUUUCUUCUGUAAUCCAUAUCAACUUUACAUCAUUUAACUACUCAUUUAAAGGGAUGGUAGAAUUUCCCUUGAUUUACAUAGGGAGGUUGCUUUAAAUCAAUAAAACAGUGAUACAAGUGUUUUUAUGUUUCAGAUGAACACCAGAAAAUUAUGAUCAAUUUACCAUUUUCUUGUUUGGAUUUGAAUUUUGAAUGGCAUAAUAUAUAGUAGCAUGAUUAGAAAACACAUUUUCUCACAGAAAACACACACAAACCUGAAAACGUAGGUAUACAAUUACUCUCAGUUCUUAACCCCUUCGAAAGAAGAAAAAGAAAAAAAAAAAAAACCCAAAACAGGUUGUAUACUAAACUUCUAAUACUGAUAAACGUUAAAUAUUUACACAUGAGAGGUCAAAUUCUGCUGGUCUUCAACCCAGACAUUGCACUGGAAACUAAAAAUGAACAAGAAACUAGUCUCGUACCAUACAUAGAAACUACUGCGGCUACUAUGUAGUACUACAUAUUUCUAUCUUCUGCUAAAUAAAGGGAACCAACGUUCUUGGAAAGAAGUAUGGUGAGAGACCAUAAAUAGGAGAAAAAUGAGCAGAAGUGCAACCCCAACUGGAGAGCCUCCAACCCUGUGAGGUGAGUCCUCCUCUGGUGAAGAUGUCACAGAUGGACCACUUUCUGAAUAUUCGCCCCUUGAUAGCCAGUGCACCACAAGGAGUAAAAUCACAGGAAAAAUCAGCAGCACAAGCUUCAACUCCUGUAGUAUGUCUUCAUACUUGUUCUCGUAGUUGAUGUACCAUGUGAAUACCAAGAACAAGAAAACUACGAGCAAGAAGAAGAAGAAGUGAAUGGGUAGAGAAAGGUACUGUAGAUAAUGGUUGUAUGAAGACCUGUAAUAUCUAGCCAUAGUGGUUGAUUCUGGAAGUAGCUAGUAGUGUUGUGAGGAGAGUUGGAUGUCUAUUACAAAGAGUAGUAUUGUAGCUGAGAUGUACUAGAAAGCUAGCUAGGUGAUGGUGUGAUGUAUUGUGGAUACAAGUGUAGUAGUGCUUAGAAAUAAAUGUUUCCAAGUGGGGAUCGGUUUAUAUAGAGGAGAUAUCAUAUUUUUGCACAAAAAAUGCUAGUAAAAAUUAAGGGCCAAUUAUGUGGUUUUGAUAAAAGGAUUCCUUAAAUUGAUGACAAAAUUUAGUCAUCCUCUCUCGUAAAAUUACAUGGUUGACAAGACUAAGUCAUGACACUUCAUUAAAUUUUCGUUCUCAAUAAUAAUGUACUCCCUCCCUU
rnacentral:lncRNA from 1 species